CAACCAGCUUCACAGAUAAGUAAUUUAUUCGCCUGCUGUUGCGGCAAAGCAUCAGGCGGUUACUAUCUCCUUAAUGAAAGGCUCUUCGUUUGGGCAAAUUUUUCCGCAUACACACUGGUCGUUAAAUGCUGAGCAACAUCCUCCUGGAUAAUUCUGAAGCUUGCAGUAUUGUUUACAAAGAUUCACGUCACAAUGUCGACCUUGAGGAUCCUCCACAAGAGGACGACUCGUAAUACGUGGACAAGCUGCUGUGCAACGACACGGACCAGAUAGUCCUGCGCAGCAUGCUGGCUUACCAAAAAGUGAGCAAUAUUUUCUACAAAGAUCCCAGUUACAUCGUUUAGCAUCCACCACAAGAGGACCGCUCAUAUCUGUUUAAAACAAGGAAAGAGUAUACACAAACACAGUUUAAUAUAUAAUACAGUCCAAAGUAAACAAAUACGAAUGCUUUGCUAGCUUGCUAUGAAAAUUAAAGUUGUUCUGAUUAUUUCAAAUUUGGUAAAUUAACAUGUAUAUAGUAUGUAACAAGCUAUGGAGUUGAAUAAAUUACGAACCAGUGGACUGGGAGACCAACAGCAGGAGGGACACUAUUGCAAAUGACCUCACAGAGAACUCCAUAAUUGAGAAAGAGAGAGAGAUAAUAGGAAGCUUUAGUGAAAUGUGAGUGAAAGACUCCCUGCUUAUAUCUCUUUAUAUAAUGUUUUAAGUGUGCUACCAAAAUUGUUAUAAAAUGUUGGAAAAAUGCUUGUUGUACAUCAUCAUAUUUACAUAAUUUUUUACAGAUUGAUGAUGAGUCAACAAGAAACUGUGGAAUUUUUAAAUUUUUUUUUUUAGUUGAAAGAUUUUGACCCAAUCAAAUCUCGUCGCAUCAUUUGUCUGUAAACAAAUAUGUAAGUUGCGAUAUAUCUAUAGCACAAACAUUUACGUAAAACACAACUUCUUUUAGUGGAGGGUUUGCACAAGAUGUUGACACGUGGACUUGUUGAGGCUUUUAAAUUUGCUUCUGGAUAACUUUGCAUGUGAGUUUCGAGAGAAACUGCUACAGUUUCUUGGUCUCCUUCUUCUUCCUGAAAACCUCACUCGAGAUUCCUAAUAUCCUGCUCCAUCUUUCUGAUUUUCGAUUUCUUACUUGGUGAAGAUGAAUAAGAACUGAGUGUUCUUUGAUUUGUUUUGUUCUAAAAGGGUACUGAUUAGGAUUUGUGGUGUUAUCAGGAAUAGUAAACUUUUUGGAUACUAAAAAAAUAAGUCUCCAUAACUUUAUCUUUUGUAAUUUGAACAUUUUGUAUCAUGAAUAUCAUUUUGAGACUGUUCUACUGUAGGGCAUUAUUCACUUCUGUGGAUGCUUAACAAGGUAAUAGAUAUUGAUGGAAAUCUAAGCAUGUUGAUACAAAGUGUAAGAUUAGGAGAAUGGAAUAAGGAGCGAUAUGCGUUAGAAAGAUGUGUUUUAAGGUGAAUAUGAAGUACUAUUUUAGUAUGGUGUUUUGUAUCAUACCACUUUAGAAAAAUAUAUAUAUAUUGAAAAUAUAUUUUGUAUAAAUAAUCUUUAAUCAUAAUUUUAUUGACAAUAAUUUUAUGUACAAAUACUUUUUUAAUCAGAAAUAAAAAAAAUUUUCACUUAUAAUUAAUUUUUGACUUCUAUGUCAUUAUUUUAUUAUAAGUAAUUGUAUUUUUGUACUUUGAAGUGAAUUUUUUUACUUUUAUCCAAAGACUUUAUCUAUAAGUGAAUUAUUUUUCUCAUCGUAGAUUUUACUUGUUAACGUAAUUAUGCAUAAAUUUUUACUUAUUAGUAAAGUUUUACUGACUACAAAUUAUUUAACAUAAAAGUGGGUGUUUUACAAAAAGGUUAAUUUUUUACUUACGACUGAAUAAUUUUUUAGUUAAUUUUUACUUGUAUAAAAGGUCUUUUCAUGCCAUUGUAUGAUUGAGACAGAUGUAAAAUUUCCAACCACGUGUUAUACAAAUUUUAGAUUAAAUAUUAAGAAUAAAAAUGGUCAUCAUGUCUUUUGUCCAAAUCGAAACACAAAAAUAACGUGAACUAAAUUUAGUAACUAACGAGUAGAUACAAUAGUUUGAAAGGUCUUUUUCAUAUCAUUGCAUAAUUGCGACAAUGUAAAAAUUUUCUAAGCACAUUUUUAUAUCAAAGAGUAUUCUAUAUUAUUUAAAUCGAAUUCGAUAUUUUCUAGAAUUAUUUAUAGUAAUUGCUCCUCCAUAAUUUUUUUCCAAAUCUAAACACGACAUUACGAGUGUACCAAAAUUUUAAUAGGUGAAAUUUGAAGGAUCUAAAUGGGUUGCUCAAAAAGUCAAAGGACUGAAUUGAAGAUGUUGAAAACUUUGAGGACCAGGGAUGAAAAUACCUUGCGAAUGGUGGGUAGGAGGAGUGAAUGUUUCAUAGAACCUGUCAUGUCAUGCCUUGCUGCCCAAUUUCCUAGUGCGAGUUGGAAACAUAAUUUUUAAGGUCUGCGGGUAUUCCAAUCACAUUUUUUUUUCUUUUGCACAUUUUAAAACUUAUUUAAAUAGGACUUCGUAAUAGAUUGGAUGGAUGUAUUCAACUUUUUUCAUCUCCCUAUCAUUAAAACUUUAUAUUUUUAUUAUUGAUUGUGUCCACCUUAACACAGCUAUCUGCAUCAUGUCAAUUCAAAGUUGCUCAUUUUUUGUUAAAUUCUUGUUAUUUCUGUGGUUUGGUUAUUAUUUUAUUUUGAUGAUUGUUCAACAAUAAAACGUGUUUGUGAUUUAUAUUGUUUUCUAGAGGUUUGAUAUAAAUUAGCUCAUGGUAAUAAGCAACAUAGGGUAUGCUAGUUGAUAGAAAAAUCAGCACAUCCUCUGAAAUCGAAUGAGAUGAUCUUUGUGAAUAAUGAAUGCUUAUGUGUUCAAAAUUUAACUAAAAUUAAAUAGGUUCACAUAUGAGCUUGGAAUUGAUUGACCUUGAUAGAGGCUUUUUGAUUAAAACUGGAUCAUUGAUUUUCAAUUUAGGCAAGAAUCAGCAAUUGAAUGGUAAUUAAGAAGUGAAUUAGGAUUUGAACGGUAGAUUGUUGAUCUUGGGCUUUGCUUGGUAAUUUUACACUAAGAUCUUAAUAUGUGUUGGGCUUUUGAUACCCAAUAAAUCCCGGACUAUGAUGUUAACGAGGGUUCAUAUUAUUUCAUAGGCAUAGGUCGAUGAAUGAAAUAAGUCCAACAACCAAGUCUAUGAGUUACACUCGGCCCAAUUAUAUUUCCUCUUGGAUGACUUGAAUCUUGGACCGUUUACCUUUUUAAAGGUCCAACUUAAAGCCUAACCCUAGAGUAUAUAUAUGACUACAACCCUAGCCACUUUCUUGUGUUGCCCCCUUUGUGUGUGAAAAAACGCUUCUAGAAAUGUCCAAAACGCUUGUUUAACGUGUGCAAUUGGUGGUUCCUUCAUAGUAUAUUUUUAUGGUGUCUUCUCCUAACCUUUGUGGCCACAAAUCAUCAUCUUUUUUUGUCCUAUGUGGGUAAGAUUGAAUAGAAACCGAGGAGAAUUAAUUGGUUGUGGUUUGGAGCUGAUUGGACUGAUUGUUGGUUGAGAAAUGUGCGUUGGAUUAAGCCCGGAAAUCACCGAUUUGAAAAUCUUUCAAGAGAGUUUCCGCAACAUUUGGUAUCAGAGUUUCAAAGUGGUGGUUUUGGCUCUUGAAAUUUAGCAAAAAAAAUCGUCCAAAAAUUGGUAGAAUCAAACAAGAAAUUAGAUCGAAAAAACUGUCAAAAUUAGUUUCCAUUUUUUGCAUUUUUUGUUCAAUUCAGAAGGAGUUUUGGGAAACAGAGAUCAUUGGCAUAACGUGCAGGUAGAGUAGAACCCUACAGGGUGGCGCGUGUCAGAGAUGGUAGGGCGUGGCAUCAGCGCGUGAAGACCACGUGCAGAGAGAGUGAUGGCGCAUGCGGCACGUGGAGCAUUUUUUGGCGACGGUCUCUUCAGGCAGUUUGUUCCUUAUAUUAUUUUUGACAUUUUUUGUGUUGAAAUUUUUUGUUUCAGGACCUGUAGAAAAAUCUGGACAGUGUUGUUCUUCAGGCAUUCGGGACUGGAUCGUGAUUUUUUGGUUGCUGCAGUUUCUAGAGAUUUUAGGAUGAAUAGUGGUGGUCCUAUAGUGAUAAAUUCGCAACUCUCGUAAUUUACGGACUCGAGCAGGUCCGCUCUGGUAUAUUGGCUUAACUUAGUUUAAAUUUCAACAUUAGCAAAUUAUCGUGUGGGGUGAUCGUUAGGAUUGGGGAUUGUCAUUGCUUGACAAUCAUUGCUUGUGCUAGAAAAUUUAGGAAUUAUUUGCUCUAUUUUUGAAGUGUUGAGCUUUGAUUACAUGUUGGUAGUUGAUUUUGUGCUUAUCUAUCAUAUAAUCACUGUGUGAGACUUGUUGCGUGAAAAUUUGAAUUUUAUGUUUAUACACCUUCGUGCUUGCAUUAAUUAUCCCAUUAGAACUUCAAACAUUCCCUUGAUCUAAGAUCGGAAUCUUAUGAAACCCUGAGAAUCUAGAACGAUGUAUGUUGUGACUUUAGGAUUACUUUGUGUGAUCUAUUUGUGACUUGGUUGUUCUGUUUUUUUAUUUUCUCCUUAAAAAUGUCUUCAUACUUUGAAGUUGAAAUUUUUAAUGGGAAAUGAGAUUUUUCAAUUUGGCAACUAAAGAUAAAAAGUACUUUGGUUCAACAAAAAGUUUCAAAGGCCAUAGAUGGGAAAUUUCCUGGAAAUUUAACGGAAGCACAAAAAGAAGAGUAUGAUAAACUUGCAUACACUUCAAUUAUUUUACACCUGUCCAAGACUGUUUUGAGAAAAGUAGGAAAACUGGAUUCUACAAAACAACUUUGGGAAAAGUUGGAGGACUUAUAUUUGCUUAAGUCUACUCCAAAUAAACUGUACAUGCUUGAAUGAUUUUUCAGCUUUAAAAUGGAUCCUUCAAAGGAUCUUGAUGACAAUCUAGAUGUCUUUAACAAGUUAGUUCAAGACAUCGUUAAUUGUGAUGAAAAGAUAUCUGAAACGUAUAAGGCUAUUAUCCUAUUUAAUUCCAUGUCUGAUUCAUAUAGUUAAGAAUGCAAUUAAGUACGGUAGGGACACCUUAACACUUGAGAUUGUCAUAAACUCGCUUAGGAGUAAGGAGAUGGAUAUUAAGUCUGAAAAAGAGGAUAAGAUGAAUGGUGAGUUACAUAUUAUGAGGAGUAGGAUGAAGUUUAAGCAAAUUAAUUUAGGUAGAGCUCAAAAUAGUGAUGAUUUGAGUAGUGAGUCGAGUGAUGAAGGUGGUAAGAUGAAGGGCAAGGGACAGGACAAAUCUAUUGGUAGAAGGUGUUACAGCUGUAGUAAGUCUAGACACUUUAUUAGGGAUUGUCCCAAAAAGAAGGAUAAAUUGAAGGGUAAGAUGAGAGGUGAGAUGAAUUUGGUUGAGGGGUCGAGUUAUGACCCUAGUGAGAUUUAUUGAGAGUAGACCUAGUUACUGUAUAUGCAUCUGUGUGUGAUCAUUUCUGUAUAUGUGUGAUUGUCUAAAUUUUGUUGCAUGAUUAUCUGCUACAUUUCAAUGUGUUUUAUAUGUGCAUUUGCAUGAAUUUGAGACAAUAUGAUUACUUGGUGUAAUUGUUUGAAUGCAUAGUGGGUUAUGAUGCAUUAGCAGUGUGUUAAAUUUUUUUUGGUAUGGUAGAGUGUAGAUGUCUAGCGGUACAUUGUGGUUUGUACCGGGGAUGUAGAGUGUGACAUUUGGAUCACGAGUGGAGAUGUGAUCAAAUGUCUAGGAUCAUUUAUCUGUAAAGAGACCCUAAUCAGGUAGAGUGUGAGAGAGACACUUCUAUCACUUUUGUUAGGUGGAGACCUAUUAUCCACGUAGGUUGGGAGAAGUGAUGUAGAGAUAGAGAAUUAUCUCAUGGACUUAGGAUCUAUUGUGACUUGCUGAUUUGACAUGAGUUGAGUGAUCUGUUUAGUGAGCAUGUUGGGCAAUGAGAGGAGAUAUGUGUUCUCGAGGUGUGAGUAAUACGGAAUGGGAUAGGAUAAGUGUGAUGAGAUCUUUUCGUAGGGUCAUUUAUGCAUGUAUUGCAUAUGUGGUUGACCGUGGUUUGAUUGACUUGGUGUUAAUCUAUGGUUCUAUGUAAACGUGUUUCUGAAAAGAUCUAUGUAUGUUAUCUUAUAGUAUAUCAUUAUCACAUGUGUAUUUGCUUUUGAUUGUUUAUUGUUAAAUAUUUGCUUCUACUUGGGGUUUUUUUACCUUAGCCCCAUCGAGUACAUGGAGCAGGUAUGAUAUGUGUUUCAAGUUAGAAACAUGAGGUAAGGUUUGUGAUCCAAUUUUAUUGGCUACCUUGAUUAUGCGAGUGCUAAUUGUGUGUUUUGAUUGCUUAUAAAUUUAUUAGGCAUCAAGGUGGAGAUUUAUUGGGUUUUUGAUACCCAAUAAAUCCAGGACUAUGAUGUUAACGUGGGUUAAUAUUAUUUCAUAGGUAUAGGCCGAUGUAUGAAAUAAGUUCAACAACCAAGUCCAUGAAUUACACUCGGCCCAAUUAUAUGUCCUCUUAGAUGACUUGAAUCUUGGCCCGUUUACCUCUUUAAAGAUCCAAUUUAAAGCCUAACACUAUAGUAUAUAUAUGGCUAUAACCCUAGCCACUUUUUUGUGAUGUUUUGUGUGGUUUUGAGAGAAAAAUAUAAGAAUCCCGGCUGUCCCCUUUGUGUGUGAAAAAAGGCCUCUAGAAGUGUCCAAAACGCUUAUUUAAUGUGUGCAAUUGGUGGUUCCUUCAUAAUAUAUGUUUGUGAUGUCUUCUCCUAGCUUUUGUGGCCACAAAUCAUCAUCUUUUCUUGUUCUAUAUGGGUAAGAUUGAAUAGCAAUUGAGGAUAAUUAAUUGGUUGUGGUUUGAAGCCAAUUGGACUGAUUGUUGAUUGAGAAAUGUGCGUUGGAAUGAGCCCAAAAAUUACUGAUUUGAAGAUCUUUCAAGAGAGUUUCCGCAACAAUAUACUCUCAAAUCACGAAGUUAAGCUGUUAUUUCAGGGAAAAAUUUUCAUAACCUAAAAUAUUAAUCGUGUGUUUUUUUAAAUUUAGUUUUAAUUAAAGUAGAGUCUAUAAUUAAUCUUCAUGGGACUAGACUUGACUUAUCAUUAUAUUACUUGUGUACGAUCCAUCAUCUUUUAGGAUAUAUAUUGCAACACUUGAUGAUACCUCUUAAUGUAAGAGUUUAGUUUUCAUGUUGUUGUUUGUCUAUCAUGAUGAUGUGGAUUGAUUUUUCAAAUUGCAAAUUCUUCUAAAUUAUAAUGACGAGCCAACUAUAUAUAGGGGACAUCCGAAACUUAAUAGUAGAGUUAUGGUUGAAGUAGAAUUCAAGAAAUAACAUUAAAAAUGGAAUAGGAAACAAAACAGGGCCUACUCACUGUCUAUGUACUGGGAUACUGACUCCGUGUUUCAAUAUAAAGUUGUAGGCCUCUAGGCUCCUCGUCUCCAUUCCCAACAACUUUUUAAGAUGUUUUCUUCAUUCCAAAGUCCUCUUCAAGAAAAACACAAAUUUCAACUCUCGAUUAGAUUUCUAAAUAGAACUUUAACUAAAAUUCGUCAAAUUGACUUCGAAUAGGAUUCCCAAAACAAUUCCAAAUAGAAUUUCUCUUAACGUGCAUUUUAAUUAAAAUUGUAAUUAUUUUCAAUGAAAAAUUCUAGUCAUAUCCAAAUUCCAACAAUCUCUAUCUUGACACGAAUUUCAUCACAAUGAGUAAUCUUUAAAAAAUCUCCACUUGAAUACAAAUUCCACUACAAGGAUUAAACUUAAACUCUUUAAAAAAAAAUGGCAUUUUCCAUAAAAAAGUUUCCAACUGGAAAUAUUCUCCAUCUCUGCUAUCCCAACUAAACGAAUUCUAAUGAUCUCCAAACAGGAUUGAAAUAAAACCCUAUAAUAGAAUUACAACUAAAUGCAUUAAAAGAAUGAUCUUGGCUAGAAUCAAUAUCUUUAACAGCAUUCAAACAAUAAACUAAGUCAGCAGAAUUUUACCUAUGUGGAGUCUUAAGGCGUCAACUGAAUAUAAUGACACCACAGACAAUAGUUGUAAGAUGAAUUUACAAUUAAUUUCUAAAUUCAAUUGAGAUGUAUUCUUUAAAGAAGAUACCAUAUUAGAGCCUAACGGUAAUGAAUCCUACUCCAAAUCCACUUGAGUUCUUAAAAUAUGUUGUAUAACACUACAAGAUAUAUAAAUGGGACUUUCUAUGUCCCUUUAACAAAGCAUGGGCUCCUUUACUAACUUUUAGGACUCCACCUUCAACAAUGCACCUGUACUCCUAUUGAAUCAAGAGUGCUUAAGGAGAUAACAUUUCUCUUUAGGUCUGGAACGUGUCUUACUGCAUCAAGUGUUCUAACGAUCCCAUCGAACAACGCUAUUCUAAUCAAUCAAUAUCAACUACCUAACAACGUGUAUUAUUACUAAUCAUCACAAUACCUUUUGAAAUUACUUCAUAUGUUGAAAAUAAAUCCUAAAUGGGACACAUAUAUAAUCGGUAUCAAGAAUUUAAGUCUCGUCAAGUUUGGAGUUGUAAUUAAAUACAAGUAAAAGCUCUCAGCACUCUUAGAAUUUUCUAAAAGAUUUACUUCCCCUUAAGUUUUUGAUUAUUGAUUUGUAGUCAAUUUUACUUUAUUCUGCGAUUUAUAACAAUCGUUUAUCUAGAGCCCAUUUUUCUUGCAGUAAUUACAAAUUUGUAAGAUUUUGACUUGCCCCUUGCAUGAUUACUUUCAAUAAUGAAGCCAUCUCCAUAAACCUCAGAUGAAAUAAGAUGCUUUAUCUUCUUCUUUGAAUAUAGAGUAUCAUAUACUUCUUCGAUGGUGAAAUUUUACGACUAUAUAAAAUCGUAUCUUUAAAAGACAUGUAUGAAGUAGGCAAAUGAACACAAUAAAAUCAAUCAAAAAUCUUCUUAAUCAUAUUUGACCUCAAGGUCUCCAAAUUAGUGAAGAUUUCCUUAAAAAUGACAAAGUGAUCCUUAAGAGAUGAAACUUCUCUCAUAUUAUGAGAAUAUAGACAUUAUUUUUUAUGUAAUUUGCUAGUAAGUCUCUUAAAAAUGUAUACUUGCUCAAAUUUUAACCAAAAUGCAAUGGCUAACUUCUUCUUCAAAACAUUUUGAAGAAUAUUAUUUGAGAGAUAAAUAUAUAAUUUAGAUAGGGCCUUUUGAUCCCUCCACUGUUUUACCUUCAGAGUUGAAGUUGUGGGCAUCUUAUCAAAUCCCAGUAAUGCAUCGUCCAAAUCCAUCUGAGCAAGUACCGCUCACAUCUUUACAUGCCACAAAGAGAAUUUUAUAUUGCAAUCUAAUAGCAUAAUAUCAUACUUCACAGUUGCCAUCACAAAAAGAUCAGGUUGAGCUAUUAACAUGAUCAAAACCUUGAUCUUCCCAAAAAUUUGAAUACCAAGAGCUUUGUACCAAUUUUUUAUAUAGAAAAUUGAAAUUGGAUUAAUCCAAUACCAAUUUGUUGGAGAAAAUACAAGAUUAUAGGCACAACAUGAAAUAAAAUAACACCAUAACAAUGUAACUUGGAGAGAAUGAAGAUUUUAUUAUAAUAUGAAGAAAGAAUACAAAGAAGGAUGAGUCAAAGUUCUAUCAUUAGUAUUUUAAAUUUUUAAGGACCAUAAGUUUCGGUCACUACAAAGUAAAUUUUCAAAUUGUUGCACAAUAAUUCCAAUGUAAAUUAUGUUGCUUGUUCAACUAUUUUGACAAUGUGUAAGUUGACAGGGAUCCUAAUCAUUUAUUUGAAAAAUUAAUUUUCAAAUUAAUGAUCAAGAUCUUUACACCCCACACUGUCACACUAGUCACACAAAUUCAUUAUACAACUAGCUUAAUUUAUCAUUUUGAGUAAUGUUAGUUCAUAGUUGUAAAUAACAAGAUAUAUUAAUAGAGAUAUUUUAAAAAAAUUAAAACAUUAAUUAUACUUUCAACAAGGAAAGAGACCUAUAAUUUGGGAUUGUUAUUUAGAAAAAUGGAACCAGAUUAAUCCAAUACCAAUUUGUGGGAGAAACUAUGAGAUUAUAAACAGAAUAUGAAGGAACAUGAUGAAAAGUUUAGAUGUAGCCCAUUUAUUUUGACUCAAUGAGUAGAAUCAUACAAUUAAAAUGUGACGUGUGAAACCCUAAUUUGCUUUUUCAAGAGUUUUAUCCGACCAAUGAUACGUAAUUGCCUUUUACUAUAUAUACCAAACCCUAAACACGAAAUUUAGGUGAUUGAUCUUACUAUUUAUUCAUAACAUCCUUUUGAGAGAAAAAUAAUGGCUCUUCAUCUUUUACAUCCUGAGAUUCAUCAACCACAAUUUGGAAAAAAAUCAAGAUCACAUAAUCCAAAACACCCAUUACUUAUACACAUAUAGAAAGGUAUUUUUUCAAUAGCUUUCAGAGGUUGCUGAAAACUGAGAGAAGUUGGACCAAAAGCACAGGAAGAGUACAAGAACAAGGAAUCCUUGGUGAUCCACAAGAGAUAAACAAUUCUAGAAGAUCGAGAACAGGUGUGAGUGAAGCACUUUUUAACAGGUCUUAGAAAUUGCAGAAAGUAGAUCAAUGAGUCAAGUAAAAAUUUCUAGACUAGAUCGUACUAUAAGUUCAUUAUUAUCCAUAGUUUAGGUUAUUGAUUUGGUUUUGAAGUUUUAUCUACUUGAGUUUUCUUUGUCAACAUAUUUUGUGUUGUUUAUUGCUUUCAUAUCGUUGAUUGUGGCAUUCAAACCAUAUGAUAAUCUGACAUGAUUGAUUAACCAUCUAAAAAUAAUUAAAAAGUGAUUUAUUGCUUUUAAUUGUAUAAUUCCACACUUUGGGUCAAAAUAAAUUAGCUAAUUCUAAACUUUCACAUGAGAACAAUGAAUAGAUAAUGGAGAAAGAAUACUAAGAUUUUGUAUUUAAAAUGUUUUAACUCCUCCAUUAAUUAUAUUGAUGAGCUAACUAUACAUAGGGAACAAAUUAGAAAUUUCAAAACCAAAUAGUAGAGUUACACUAUUGCCGGCACCCUGGUGCCCAAUGCCGACUCCUUGUUUCGAUAUAAUGUUAUUAGGGCCUAGGCACCCCGUCUCCAUCCCAAACACUUUUCUUCAUUCCAAUGUCCUCUUUGUUAAAAGUUCUAGAGUAAUUUGUAAUCUUCAUCUAGUCGAAAUCCAAAUUGGAAACUUCAACAACAAAAGAAGAUUGAAAGAGUUCAAAUCCAAAUUGAGUACUUCAACCAACAAAGGCUUUAUUCAUCGAAUGGUCAAAGGAUAAAAUUUUCAAUUCAAGUUGUAUACUCAACUUGUACAAGCUAGAAAUUAACAUAGACAGCAAUCAAUUCACAUUCUAUUCAGCAAUCUGGAAAUUAGGCAGCAGCCAUUUGACACUUAUGAUGUUCAAACACAGCUGCAAAUACAUAUAUUCCAGCUAUAAAUGAUGAAGAAAAAAUAGCUUUUACCUAGUUGUAAUUAUAGAGAAUUAGUAAUACUACUUUAUUCAAUGUUUUUUUAUAAAUAGGAAGGUAUCCAUCUAGUGUUAUGUAUGUAGAAGAAGUGAGAAAAAUCUCUCAAAAAAAUAAAGAAAGAGUGUGUUGUAGCAACGUCAUUUGUGAUUCCUUAAAUUUCAUAAGAAAAAUUUCAUAUUUCUCUUAUCUAUUUCCUUCUACACCCAACACUCUUAAAGUCUAUCACAAAUUCCAAUUUCCAAUUGGACUUCCUAAUAGAAUUUCAACUAGAAUUCGCCAAAUAAAUUUCAAAUAGGAUUCCAAAUAAUCAUUCUAAAUAGAAUUUUUCUUAACCUGCACUUUGAUUAGAGUUCUCAAUUAUCUUCAAAAAAGAAUUCCGGUCAAACUCAAAUUCUAACAAGACAAACAAAAAAGGAAAGUAAAACUAUAUUUGUGGGACGGACAAAGAUUAUAUUUCAUUUAAUUUUGACUAAAUUUAAAAUAAGACAAUUUUAAUGUGUCCGAGACAAAAAUCUUAGGGCCAUGGGACCAUUAAUCAAUUUCCCUUGGAGCUUACUUUGAAUAAUUAAUAAUUUUACAUACGUAAGUACACAGCUAAGUCAUUGAAAUAAAAUCUAAGUAUGCAAUUAUGAAACUUUUCCUCCAAUUAUGUUACUGAACUUCUGUAUAUUCGCCUAUAUUUUGAUAGACUAAUCCAAAGUUUAUGUCGCACUCAAGCCGGAGAAAAAUUACAUGCUUGCAGCAAAUCCAUUUUAUGAUAUGAGUAAUAAAUUGAAAUUUAAAAAAAAAAGUUAGUAAUAAUUGAAUUUCUAUAAAUAUAUACUCGACAACCUCUAGUACCUUUUACCUUUAAUGUAUAGAAAAACUUAAAUAAAAAUAAAAAAUAAAAAAUAAACUAAAACUAAAACACAAAAUGAACAAGGCUUGUUAACUACCAAAUGGAAAAUUUAUGCUCUUAGUCGUACUUUUGAGUACAUAAUAUAGCCCAAAAAAAAUUUGCAUAUAAUGUUUUGAGACUAAUAUCAUAUAGCUAGAAGAAUUAGAUGAAAAUAAUGAUAUCUUCCAUUCUUGCAUUACUAGGUCUUUAAAUUGAAUUAAAAAAUUGAAAUUAAAAAAAAAGAGUAAUAAUUGAAUUUCUGUAAAUAUAUACUCGACGACCUCCAGUACCUUUUACCUUUAAUGUAUAGAAAAACUUAAAUAAAAUAAAAAUGAAAAUAAUAAAAAAAACUAAAACUAAAACACAAAAUGAACAAGGCUUGUUAACUGCCAAAUGGAAAGUUUAUGCUCUUAGUCGUACUUUUGAGUACAUAAUAUAGCCAAAAAAAAAUUGUAUAUAAUGUUUUGAGACUAAUAUCAUAUAGCUGGAAGAAAUUAGACGAAAAUAAUGAUAUCUUGCAUUACUAGGUUUUAUUUUCAUGAAAAUGUCAUAACAUUGCUAAAAUCGCUUUCCUCUUUAACCAUCUUUGUCCCUGCCACUGAUCAACCUAAGAUUUUUCCUAACCUUGAACCCAAUAAUAAGGGAAUCAUAGAACAGAGGCCUACUAGACAGCGUAGGUUCUACCAACCUAGGAAUAGAAGAAAUCAGCGAAUACAUAACUUUGGUCCUAGGUUUAUCCCUACGUGUUUCAAGCCUGAAGAGUUAAGAUAUAUAAAGUCUAGGUGUCAUAAAUUCCUAACCAAAAAUAGAAUCCUUCAAGUGGUAUCUAGUAAUUUUCAAGUGGUAUCAGAGCUAACUAAAAAUAAUAAUUAGGAUUUUGAUAAUCGAAUUGACUUCCUUAGUAAUUAGGUGAGUCAAUAGACUGAGUUAAUUGUUGAGGUUGUUCCACAUCGGUUGUGAAUGGGGUUGGUAUUGAGUUUUAUAAAUGCCGAGAAAACUUAACCUCUUGAGAUAGCUUUUGGGGUGAAAAAGGCUCAAUACCACCCAACACUAGUAUCAGAGCUCGACUUAUCAACAAGUCUCUAGCCCAACAGUCACAUAGAUAUGGAUUUGUGUGAGGGGGAGAUGGUUUUGGUUUUCCGUAGGCCCUAUUUUAUGAGGGGAAACGGGUUUGGUCUCCCGUAGGGCCUGAUGUGUGGACUAGACAUGUUUGAUUUUCGACAAAGCCUGAUAUGUAAGGGGGAGAUUAUUGAGGUUGUCCCACAUCGGUUGUGGAUGGGGUUGGUAUUCAAUUUAUAAUUGUAAGAAAAUUUCUAACCUCUUGAACUAGCUUUUGGAGUGAGAAAGGCCCAAUACUACCCAACAUUAAUGACAUAAUAAACUAGGAUCAAUUCCUCUACUAGGAAAGUUUGGGUGAAGAAAAGUGAUCUUAAAAAUCUUGAAAUAGAUCACUAUGCUCUUAUAGGUAAGAGCAUUUUUAUGUUUUAGGUUCAUAUAUGUGCUUCUUCAAAUAAUUUCCAUUGGCACAUGCAUAUUUUUUUGUGUUUUUGUGUGUUGAAUUUUUUUAUUUUGUGUGUUAGAUGCAUUCAUGUUAAAAAAAAUGAGGGGAGACGUUUUUAACUAUAGUAUGAUAAAUGAUAUACUUGAGCUUGUGUGUUGUGACCAAGUAUGAGCAUAAUCGAUGUACCGUGGCGUAUUUUCCAAUACUUUGUUUAGAUUUUUAUGAAGUACUUAGUACAGGUUUCUUCAUGUACCAUCUACACUGCACGCACUAUGAUAGUAUGAGUGGAACUUGACCACAUGUGUGAGAUUUGGGAUGUCAGUCGCAUGUUGGUAAAGUGAUCUUGAACAUGAAUUGAUUUUAUUUUAGUUAACCUAAGUCUAAGUAUAUUCCCUUAAAAAUGACUAAAUAUCAUGUGCUCUUCUUUAGAGCUUAUAUAACUCAAGCAAUUAAACAUGCGAGAUUUCUCAUAACCUGGUACCUCUGGUCAACUAACUUGGGUUAACCGGCCUAAAGUUCGUUACAAGGGUCAUCUUAGUCGAUUAAUGUAGAAGAGUCUGCAUAUAAGAUAUGAAAAAUUGAUGAGAAAAAUGACGAGCUUCAAAAUUUAGAAAAUGUGUAGAAAAUAUGUAUGCUCAAAGUCAUGGGGAGAAAAUAAUAAUGUACAUGCAAAAAGAGCUUCUUUAUAGGUCCUAUAUGCACUAAUCUGUUUGACUUUCAUUAGUAGAGGAAUAAACAUAUUGACAGUGAUAUAUAGCAUGUUCUUUCUCCCAAAAUUAAGGUUUGGAAUCAUGCUUACAAAGGACUAGUGACACUUUACACACAUGAGUAACUUAUACAAUUUACUCCAUUUUAGCUUGAACUGAGUAAAGUUUACUAAUCAUUGACUAUGUUUGCACAUGCUAUGAAUUGCAUCUUUGAGUUGAUAUGUAUUAAUGUUCAAUUGUUUUUUUUAUAAAGUUUCCAUCAUCAUUUGUGACAAAAAUGGGGAGAGAGAGUUUUGAUUGUUGGGUGAGUCUGCAGUAAGGGGGAGAGAUGAUCGUAAGAGGGAGUUGAUUGUAUUUUUUGCAUUCAUGGCAUUCUAUAUCAUAAUGCAUAGCUUUUUUGAGUUUUAAUUUUUUGUGAUAUUAAUGUUUCAUUUGGUGCUUUGAUUAGUGAAAUAUCGUAGUUCGACCCAAUCAACACCUAGAGGGAGGUGAAUAGGUGUUUGUGGAAUUUUCUUUUUCAAUCAAUUAAUAAUUGCAACACAUCACAAAUAUUAAUUUGUCCAAAUCAAUUCACAUGCGUUACUAUCCUAUGUUUGAAUACCGGUAAUAAACUAAUAGCAGAAAAGUAAAUAACGCAAUUGUUUGUUGACGGAGAAACCCCAAGGUAGGUAAAACUCUAGGCCCAAGCCAGUAGGAAUCCACUAUAAAUGAAAAUACAACUUACAAUAUGUCAGACUCAACCCAUACUGAUUUUUCUGACCUCCCGACUAUAAUUUCCUCAAAGCCUUCUUGGAAUGCUUGAUCAUGCACCAACUCCCAGCUCCUAGCCCUCCUGAAUUGUGUGCUACACCAAUUCUCGGCUCUUGAUUUCGUCUAUCUCCUGUGGAUUCAAGAGAACUGCCUGUUCUCUAACGAUCGGGACUCUGAUCUCUUUCCUUGAUCUCCAAGAAUCAACAAAAGCAAGAAGGUUGUAUUGUGACGUUUGAUGAAUGUAGAUUUGAUGUUUCUAGAUGAUUGCGUGUAUCAAAUGUGGGAUUAAAUGAAUGAAUCAAGUGUAGAGAGUUUUUCUUUAAUUUCAAUCCUUAUGAGAGACGUAUGAAAAUCAGCGCAAUUUAAUUUAUAUAAAGUGUAUUAGGACAUUUGGGUUAGGUCAAAAUGUCAAAAAAAGGAAAAUAGGGUUUUCUAGGUAAUACCGUCACUCGAGCGAGAAGCAAGUUAAUUAUUGCCUUGUCUUCUUUCAACAUGUUUUCUAAAAUCACAACUCACAUACCCAGUGUAAAAGCACAAGACACAGUAAUAUAAGUUAUCAUAAUAAAGACAAACAGUCAUGCAUAGCCAUAAUAUUGUCCCAAAAUGCUAGAUUAAGAUACAAUAUCAAUGUAAGUCAAAUCACCAAAACAUACAUCAAUAUUUCAAAAACAUCAAAACAUAAUCUAACAAAAAUAGCAAAAUUGCAGUAUCAAUCAUUACAAUAGCAAAAUUGCAGUAUCAAUCAUUACAAUUCCCAAUGCUACUCCCCCUUUUUUUCAUAAAUGGCAAGGGGAACUCUAAGCAACUAAGUAUGACCAUCAUCUCCGCCAUCCACGUCCUCAUAAUCGUCAACCUUAGACUCAUAAUCCCAGUACUCACGCAUCCAUCGAAUACUGUGCUGAACCAGGGCAAUAGCCCCCCGCAAUGUAGCAAACUCCGCAGUAUGACGCUCGGAAGCAGCUCGUAACUGAGUAAUGUCGGCCAUCAUGCAGGCCUAUUGCUCAAUGAGAAUCGACAUUUGAUCCAUAAGCGCGACAGUGGGGUCAAUAGAAGCAGUAGCCGGAGCAGGCGAGGCGGGUGGUGGAACAGAAGUGGAAGAAGAGGGAAUAUCGGAAGUGGAUGGAGGAACAUCUGAAGAAGGUGGAGGAAUAGUGAAGAGACUUGAGAGUAAAUCACCUAAAGGAUCAGCGGGCACUGUCGAAUCGACAGGCUCAGCUGGCUCAGCAGGAGCAGAUGCAGAUGCAGAAGCGAAAAGCUGACAUGUAACCUAUUCUGAGAGAUGGUAGUGUGCCCUAUGGGACGAAGAGCUCGCCGUGACACCCCAUCGGGAAAUAAAACCCCAAGUGAUGUCACUAAGCGAUAGAUCAAGCAAGCAUAGAGAAGACCAAUCCAAUGACUGGGAAACCGAAAAGUGUGCAAAAUAUGCUGGCAAAUGAAAGUGGAUAGGUUAAUCAAAUCCCUAUAUAGCAGAGCAUAGAGAAAUCUUACCUUUUCCAUAGGCAGGGAAGAAGUGUGAGAGACCGACCACAGAUUUGUACACACAAUGUGCAACAAAAUCUGUCGAUCAGUGGGGAGCAAACCAGUGCGGAUCGCCUUAGGCCCACCUCCCAAUGGACUAUUAAACAGAGUGGACCGAACAAGAGAGUCAGCCGAAAUAUAAUCAGCUGAGAGAUAUGGGUAAACAGGGUGAAUGACCCGGGGAACAUGUAUGGAACUGGAAAUAACAUCUGGUGAAAUCCUAAGUAUCUGAUCCCGAAGGAACACCCUAAAGGACAACUCACUAAUGUCCUAAAUGUUCGUAUAGAACUCCUAAACAAGGAGACUAGGUGGGGGAUUUAAACCUAUCAGUAAAGAUUCCUAACCUCAUGAGGUGAGAAUGGCAGCUAAAUCAGGUGGUAAGUCAGAUAGGGUGACCUCACGCUCAACUAAGAUAGGACGCAGUGAAAACUGACUCCCAAACACUUCCUGUGCAGUAGAAGAAAUAAACUUUGACCUACUAAACGAUGUUGAACCACUAGCUGGUAAAGCUGUAGUGUGAGCCCUCUUAGGUACCAUAUGAAAAAAGGAUAUGUGGAAUGGACUUCAAGACCCAUAGAUUGCCAAGAAAUGGGAAUGCAUGAACGUUCGUGAUCCAAUGCUCAAACAUAUACAGGCACAUAGACUGAUGCAAGGGAAUGCAAUAGUAGCAAGCAUAUAAGACCAACUAAACACAUGACACAGUAGCUAUAAGACAAUAUAUAAAUGUAGGUGACGUGACCUAGACGUAAGGAGUAACGGUCACAGGACGAAGGGGAACACACUGCAGGGCAUGAAACCAAGAACAGAAACAAUAUAGCAGUGACAUGAGAACACCAAAAUGGCCAAAACAUCACUUACAUAUGCAACCAAUACCACAUAGUCACGCACAACGUGGUUGAAGCAAAACAUUGAACACAUGAUGGGCAUGAAGAAUGCAUAUAAGUUUUGCUCCAAUUCAAGUCAAUUAAAAAACACAACGAGCAUUCCCAACCAACCUAACGACCGAGCAUCUAGAAAAAUUCCCAACCACGUGCAGCAAUAAUCACAAUGAACGGCGCACAAAUAAGGCAGUCAAUGAGCAUAAAAAAAUGAAGUUCAAAUGCGCAAAUCAAGCUUAAAGCAAGGAAGUCACAAUCCACACUCCAACAUGCACAAAGAAUGAAGUAAUUGAUGCAAAACGAAACUUAAAAUUCAAAAUCCCCAAAUUGAACUGAAACUAGGGCACGAGAGGCUCUUACCCGAGAUUGGCACGAAGUAAAACCUACACCAAGGUAAUGGAAUGAGAACCCACACACAGGUAAUGAGGAGCAAAACCACCAAGAACGCCAUUAGUGAGGGGAAAUUUGAGAAAGGAAUGGAAGAAAUUUAAAAAAAAAAUGAAGUUUAACCCAAUCGCGAGAAAACAAAAAAGCUCACUGUCGCUCGAGCGACAAGCAAUCUGCUUCUAUCGCUCAAGCGAGCUGCUAGCGGCAAGCGAGCGACGGGUAAAUUGUCAAAAAUAGCACCAAGUUUUGAAAAUUGAAAAAUCCAGCACCAUGUUUGGAACUUUGAAAUGUAGCACCACUUUAGAAACUUUCAAAAUUAGCACCAUUUAUAGAAAUUUGAAUUUUGACCCCAAUUUUUUUUUAUUUAAUAGGAAAUAUACACAUGUAGUAAGUCCAAUCAAAAUGCAGUAGAUCACAAAUACGGCAUGCUCUAUGAUUAGAAAAUGUUUCUCCACACACCGGAACUAAGUACAGAUGGAGUAAAUUGCAUAUAUGACCCCAUGUGAAACGUGCCAAUCAUUCCAUGCAAGUAAGACUCAAAAACUUAAAUUUGUGAGAAGAAACAACCAAAUCAUCGAUGUGUGAGUCAACAUCCAUAUGUUUGAAGGUCAAAUCCAAUACCACUAGGACCUAUAAUUCACUGAAAUAUGGUGUAAAAUUGUUUUUUCUCCCCUUGUCAUCAAGGACCUUCAAAAUUUUUUUAUUUUUGUUAAAAUCUUUUGUGCAAUCUCAUCUCCAUUAAGCUAUUAAGAAGACCUCUGUAAGAGCGUUGGGUCGGUGACUCCCAAACCAGUUAGCUUUAGGGCACCAGGUUAUGAAAAAUCCCUCAGACUGAAUUGCUCAAGUCAAUAGGCUUCAAAGAUAGGUAUAAGACGUAAUACAAUAAAUAAUAUUCUUUUGGAUCACUUGGGGGUACACCAGCAAUUAGGUUAUCUAGUCGAAAAUCAAUUCAAACCCAAUGUCAACUCAACGACAAAUGAUAGUCAUCCUAAGUCUCACACUGCGGUCAAGACUCACUCACACGGUCCUGGUUUUUGCUGUGCAGAUAGAAUAUGAAGUGACAUAUACUAAGUACUCCACACAGACUCAAUAUAAGUGAUGGGAAUUAGAAACUAAUCAUGUAUGGAAUGCAUCUUUGAUCCCAAAUUGCAAGUCCAAGUUAAUAUAUAUAUAAUUUUUUUUUAAAAGCCAAAAUGAAAGACAAAUGCAAGUAAAAACAAUCAAGCAAUGCCAUGAAUGCAGAAAUGAAUUAUUGAAAUAAACUAAACAUGCAUGCAUCUAUGAAGACGAUCAAUGAAGAACACAGAUGCCAACAGCCUUCCUAAGUGACUCGAACCUCAACUCAGCUAGAGGUUUAGUGAACAGAUCGACAAGUUGAUUUUCAGUAGAGAUAUGUUCAAGUGACACCACAUUGGACUCAACUAGCUCUCGAAUAAAGUGAUGACGAAUGUCAAUAUGUUUGGUCCUAGAAUGCUAAACAGGAUUUUUUGAUAUGUUGAUAGCACUGAUAUUAUCACAGAAAACAGUCAUAGUACCCUAAUUUAUCCCAUUAUCACUCAGCAUUUGCUUCAUCCAAAGCAGUUGAGUGCAAUAGCUACCAGCUGCAAUGUAUUCUGCCUGGGCUAUGGACAAUGAGACUGAGUUUUGUCUCUUACUCAUCCAUGAGACAAGAUUAGAACCAACAUAGAAACAUCUAUUGGAGGUACUCUUUCUAUCGUCGGCAUUUCCGGCCCAAUCAACAUCAAAUUCUUGUUUCAUGCAUUCAGCGAAUUCAAGAGCAAGGGAGUCAAUGGGAGAGCCAAAGAUGAUGUCAUCGACAUAGAUAUAUGCUACAAUUAUAGUUUCUUCAAUAUAUCUAAUGAAUAAGGUUUUGUCAGCACCACCUCGUGAAAACCCAUGCUCAACUAGGUAAGUGGUAAGUCUGUCAUAUAUAGUGCUUUAUUGAGUUUGUAGACAUAAUGAGGAAACUUAGGGUUAAUGAAUCCUUUUGGCUAUUCAAUAUACACCUCUUCUUGCAGUAUUCCAUUUAAGAAUGCACUCUUAACAUCCAUUUGAUAUAACUUGAACCCAAGGUACAAGCAACCACAAGAAGAAUGCGAAUGGACUCAAGACGAGCAACAGGGGCAAAUGUCUCAUCAAAAUCUACCCCUUCAACCUGAGUGUACUCCUGGGCAACUAGUCUAGCCAUAUUUCUAGUUAUGGUACCUUGGUCAUCAAUUUUGUUCUUGAAAAUCCACUUAGUACCUAUCACAUUACAAUCAUCAGGCCUAGGAACUAGAUACCAAACAUUAUUUCAAACAAAUUGAUUAAGCUCCUCAUGUAUGGCAUUCACCCAACAUUCAUCUCUAAGGGCUUCCUCUACUUUCUUAGGUUCAAUCUGGGAUACAUAGCUAGUAUAUGUUAGAUUAUUUAGAACUCUCUUUCGUAACCUCAUACCUUCAUCUAAGUCCCUAAUGAUGUUAACCUUAGGAUGAUUAGAUUUGACCUUGGAAGAUGGUUCUCUAGGAAGCUUAGAUUAAUCACAAUUUGGUAGACCCGAUCAGAGAUGUCUACACCUUUAGAGGAGCGUAGAGAUUUUGAAAUUGAUUGCUCUUUAUUUUUAGCAGUGGCUACUUGAUCAUCGCUUAGAUCUUAUAUAUCUAGCCCAUUUUCAGCACUCUUUCCCUUAGUGAAGGCAUCAUCAACAACAACAUUUACAGAUUCCAUGACACUCUGAGUACGCAAGUUAUAAACUCGGUAGGCUCUACUGUUCUUAGAAUAUCCUAGAAAAACCCCAUCAUCACUUUUGGAAUCAAACUUGUCUAGAUUUUCUCUAUCCCUCAGAAUGUAACACUUGCUGCCAAACACACGAAAGUAUUUAACAGUAGGUUUCUUGCCCUUCCAGAUCUCAUAGGGAGUCUUGUCUAUUUUCAGUCUAAGGUAUACCCUAUUUACUAUGUGGCAAGCAGUGUUAAUGGCUUUACCCCAGAAAUGCAUUGCUAGAUCCUUGUCGUGAAGCAUGGCCCUAGCCAUUUCUUGAAGCACUCUAUUCUUUCUCUUAACAACUCCAUUUUGCUGUAGAGUGAUUGGUGAGGAGAACUCAUACUUAAUCCCCUCCUCCAAACAGAAGUUUUCAAGAUUGAAGUUUUCAAAUUCUUUCCCAUGAUCACUUCGAAGCCUAGAAAUGGAAAGAUUUUGUUCAAUUUUGAGUCUUUUACAUAAAGACUUAAUCAGAUCACCCGUCUCAAAUUUUUCUCUUAACAGUUCAAUCCAGGUGUAUCUGGAAAAGUCAUCUACCACAAUCAGAAUAUACCGUUUGCCUCCUAGGCUCUCCACUCUAGAUGGUCCUAUUAAAUCCCUAUAGAGAAGCUCUAAGGAUCUAUUUGUCAAGAUUUUCAAGGUUUGCUUAUGGUUUAUCCUGAGUUGCUUUCCUUGUUGACACGACUUGCACACAGUAUUUUCACUUUGAUUAAUUUUAGGUAGACCAUCGACAAUCAUUUUUGACCAAUUUGGAGAGACUUCUGUAAUUAACAUGACCAAUCCUUUGAUGCCAAAGUUCUGACAUAUCAAUUUUAGCACUACUGCACACAUAGUUUGAGUUUGGGAGAACUCUAUAACAGUUAUCACAUGUUUUAACACCUUCAAGAACAACACCACUUGAAGGGUCAUAAACAGUGCAUCUCUUUUGGACAAAACUUACUUCAUAGUCAACAUAAUAGAUUUGACUAAUGCUCAACAAGUUGGACUUAAUACUCUCUACAUAAAGCACAUUAGAUAUUGUAGAAAGUCCAGAAAUGGUGAUGAAGCCUUUACCUUGGAUGGGUACCGUAGCUCCGUCCCCAAAGGUAACUACACCACCGUUGUAGUCAUCAAUGGUAGAGAAUAAGGCCUUGUUACCACACAUGUGUCUAGAACAAGCACUAUCAAGAUACCACAUGCAAAUAUUUUGAGCCUUAUACGCUACAUGAGCAACAAAACAUUUUAGAUUCUCACCAUACUCACCCACAUUAGAUUUCUUUACCCAAACUUUUCUAGAGGUCGAGGUGAUCCUAUUCAACCUUGUUACCAUCUCAGUUAAGUGACUAACCUGAUUUGAAAGGAAGUUUACAUGACUAGGGAUAUCCUGACUUCUAUUCCUAUUUGCUAGCUUUCGACACCUAGGUCUCGUGUAAACUAAAGCACCGCAGUGAUGACAAGUGGGUAUGACCCUAGGUUCAGAUGCACGUGAGUGUUGAUCCUGAAAUUUAGGUGUAGAAAUCUUAGUGGCUCUAGUGGCCUUCAGUUCAGUGACAUUCUUGCCUUUGGAUUCUGGAUUGGUUGAAAUAUUAGACCUGUUCCGGGGACAAAUGUGGUCUUGGACGAACUAGACACAUUACCAUCACUCUUCACAAAUCAUAGACCUUGUCUAUUUCCAGUUGGUUUGUUCAUUCAUAAUAGAUCAUCUAGUUUCUUUGUUCCACUCAUAAACGACUACAGUUGAGUACUGGAUUUCUCUAACUCAUAAGUCAGUGUCUUAACCCUAUCCUCUAAUUUCUCAUUGACACACUUCAACUCACUGAGAUUUUUAGAUGAGACUUGAAGAUCAUUAGUGAUUUUCUCCUUCUCUCUCUCAAGCUCAUCUACUUUCUUAAAUAGGGCUUUAUUUACCUUUUUGAUCUUGAGACUUUCCUUAAACAGAAGUUGAUAAGCUUCAUGUAUAUCCGUCUCAUCCUUAGAAUCAUCACGGGACUUGUUAUUCUCAACCUCCUUCUCAACGUUCUCACUCUCCUUAUCUGACUCACUCUUAACAGUAGAUACAAAAUCUAUAUAGCCCUUUUCCUCUUCACUGCUUGAGGAACCACUUUGAUCACUUGAGUUAGAAUCAUCAUCAGUCAAGGACACAGCUAAUGCCUUGCUCCUUCCAUUCUUUAGAUUUUUCUUAAAGCUAGGACAUUCAUUCCUAUAGUGCCCAAAUCCUUGACACUCAUGACACCUAACCACUUGAGAUUUCUUACCAGGGUUCCUAGCAAUUGAUUUAUCAUUCGUCUCUCUUAGGAAUUUGCUAGGGGCUCCUCUCCUUUUGUCUUAGGGCCAUUCCUUGGCCUUUAAGACUUUCUGGAAUUUUUUUACAAAGUAGGCAAUCUCUUCAUCUCUAAGAGUUUCUAUGUUAGAUGACUCAGACUCCUCUUCCCUAACGGUGUUCAAGGCUAUGGACUUGUUUUUCCUCAGUUGUGAAAUGGUGAGUUCAUAGGUUUGAAGGGGUCCUAUGAGUUCUUCUAUCUUAACUGUGUCUAGGUCCUUGCUUUCUUCAAUAACUGUAACUUUAGGUCUAAGUCUCUUGGGUAAGGACCUAAGAACCUUCCUUAUGAUUUUGGACUCGGGAAUUCUCUCACCUAGGUUGAAAUAGAGUUAACAAUGUCAUUCAAUUUGACAUAGAACUCAUCAAAACACUUAUCAUCCUUCAUCCUAAUUUCUUCGAACCUUGAGGUCAAUAUUUGCAACUUAGAAUUUUUCACAGUUUUAGUUCCAUCAUGCGUUGUCUCUAGAAUGUCCCAUACCUCUUUAGCAGUUUCACACAUUGACACUCUCCUAAACUCUUCAGGAGACACAUACAUAAAUAAUGCAUGGAGACAUUUACUAUUCCAGUUGCAAUCACCCAAUUUAUCCUUAGUCCAAAGGGAAAUGUCAGUUGGGGUUACAACACUAGAAACAAUUGUGGAAGGAGGUUUCCAACCAUUUUGUAUACUCACCUAGACACGUUCAUUUAGGGACUUAAGAAAAGCACGCAUUCUAACCUUCCAAUAGGUAUAGUUGCUUCCAUUAAAAUACGGAGGCACAGAUAGUGAUUGACUCAUCUAGACAACUAUGGGUCAGGACUCGAGAUUUGACUCUGAUACCACUUGAAAUAUCGUAGUUCGACCCAAUCAAUGCCUAGACUAGGGGGUAAAUAUGUGUUUAUGUGGAAUUUUCUUUUUUAAUCAAUCAAUAAUUGCAACACGUCACAAAUAUUAAUUUGUCCAUAUCAGUUCACAUGCUUUACUAUCCUAUGUUUGAAUACCGGUAAUAAAUUAAUAGUAGAAAAGUAAAAACACAAUUGUUUGUUGAUGGAGAAACCCCAAGAUGGGUAAAACUCCGAGCCCAAGCCAGUAGAAAUCCACUAUAAACGAAAAUACAACUUACAAUCUGUCAAACUCAACCCACACUAAUUUUUCUGACCUCUUGACUGUAAUUUCCUAAAAGCCUUCCUGGAAUGCGUGAUCGUGCACUAACUUUUGGCUCCUAGCUCUCUUGGAUUACAUGCUACACCAAUUCCCGGCUCUUGAUUUCGUCUAUCUCCUGUGGAUUCAAGAGAACCGCUUGUUCUCUAAUGAUCAGGACUCCGAUCUCCUUCCUCGAUCUCCAAGAAUCAACAAAAGCACUAGAAGGUUGUGUUGUGGUGUUUGAUGAAUGUAGAUUUGAUGUUUUUAGGUAAUUGUCCAAAUCAAAUAUGGGAUUAAAUGAAUGAAUCAAGUGUAGAGAGUUUUUCUUUAAUUUCAAUCCUUAAGAGAGACAUAUGAAAAUUGACGUAAUUUAAUUUAUAUGAAGUGUAUUGGGACAUUUGGGUCGGGUCAAAAUGUCGAAAAAAGAAAAAUAGGGUUUUUUAGGUAACACCAUCGCUCGAGCGAAAAGCAAGCGACACUAUUUUCGCUCGAGCGAAGUGGGGGCGAGAAGGGAGCAACGACCUUUCUGUUUUUGUCGCUCGAGUGACUACUUGGCGAGCAGCUAGCGAAACUUCAACGACACAUUUUGCCCUACUUCAUAGCUCAAACCCUAACAUACUUUGACAAAAUUACAACUUAGUCCCUCAUCUUUUACACAUGUACAAAUUUACCCCUAACCUUUAAACAUUGACAAAUUGACCCCCAAACUUUUGAACAUUUACAAUUUUACCCUUUUGUUCACAGAAUAGCCAACACAAAAUCUAUCAAUUAGCGUUAGUAUUACUUCUCAAUCUAGCUAGCAUAUUUAUGAUAAUUUGUUUCAAUUUCUAUAUUUCCUAUAUUACGUGCUUUUAUAAUUGGUAUUUGAGUUGUUGAUUUCAAAAAACAGGUUUAACCAGGAACGCAAGAAACUGACAUUCAGCUUGGGUUUAGGUAAAAUAGUUUUAUUUUCACUUCUUUUACUUGUAUUGUAUAGUUUUGUCGCAUAAUGCCAAAGGAGGAGUUUGUGAGAUUUUUAUUGUAUUGGCAAUAAUUGAUAUUUUUUCUUUCCAAACCUACUUGUCUAAUUAUCGGUAGCAAGUGAUAUUUCAACAAACCUCUUGGCUGUAAAUGCAGUUUCCCUAUGUCUGAUUGAGAUAAGGAAGUUCAAAGACAUAUAUAUAUGAUCAAGAUUGGGGGGAGGAACCAUAUCUGAAAAUGUUGGUGAUUCUGGUUGAUCAUCAUCUUUUUCAUAUUCAUUUUGAUAAUGAGGUUUUGGAAUAAUAGGAGUAAAAUAUGCUCUUUUGUAUGAAGAUUGAAAGGAUGAUCUGGGUUUUUCUUCAGAUCUAGUUGAAAAAGACUUAGCAGAAUAAGAUCUUUGAAUCCUUGAAGAUGAUCUUUUGAAAAGAAUCUUAGCUUUUCCAUCUAGAAAAGUAAGAAUUUGAUUUGGAGUUGUUCUAGUUUGAGCAGGAACAGGUGUUUGAACAUUAUCAAAAUUUCAUUCGAGUCCACGGGAUUGAAGUUUCCAUGGAAUUCUUUUUGGAAUUUUGACAUUUGAGUGAAAAUGAUUGACUUCAACUAAAAGAAUUUCAUCUCUUGGUGAAGAAUGAAGAACUCCAAUAUUGAGUUGAGUAUUCAUAAACUUAUAAUAUACUCUGUAUAUUACAGCAAAAGCAUUUGACCUACUAUCAAAUUCAAGAUUUUUUGUUUGAAUAUGAAGAUUGAGAGAAUUGAGAAUUGCUCUAUCAGUAAGUUUGAUAGAAAAGCUUGGAUAACAGUUUGAAAAUACUGGACCACUUUCUAGAUUUGAUUCUAGAAGUGAAAGUAAUGAAUUUUCAAAAUUGAGAUGUCUCUUAUUUCUAAGAGUAAGUAAAAUUGGAACAUCAAGACCAAGUUUAAACAAGGGCUUGACUGCUAUUUGACCUAAUCCAACAUGAAGAUAUUUAAAUUUUUUCCAGUCGGAUUCAAUAGCUUCUUUUGUAAGCAAAUUAACGAAAGAAUUUUGACUAUUAGUUGAAAUAGUUUGUUCAAUAGUUUUGAUAGCAUAAUUUUGGGAAAAAUCAAAUUUUCCUAUUUCAUAGAUGGUAUGUUUAUCUAACUUUGGAAUAGUCCAAUUUUGAAGACGUUCAAUUUGUGCAAUUUGAAGUUCAUGAGAAUUGAAAUCAUUUGAUGCAAAUGAUGCAGAUGCACGAUCAAUUUCUUCUUCUAUUUGAAAAAUAUUUGUUCUAUUCUCAUUUGAUUGAUUUUCACGUCUAUUUCUAGACCUCGAUCUCCUUAACCAAUUAGUAACUCAAGACAUAAUUGAAUAAAAAUGAAAUUACUAUAAAACAAAGUAAAAACAAAAUAAUAGGAUUAACAAAUUCUCACCAAGCCUACAAUGGGACCACCCUUCAAUGCCUACACUGGCAACACGGGCUGACCAAUGCUUAAUAGCAAACGUCCAGGUUUGAACAAGAUUUUCCUAAAUAUCUUGUGCUUAUAGUGUUUGAUACCAAAAUAGCCCAGGGGAAAGAAGAAACAGAAAUAGUGAGAAAGAGAUCAAAUUGAGAAAUGUUUAUUGAAAAUUGUAGAAUUGAAAUACAAUUUUGUAAGUUUAGAGAACAAAAAUAACAAAGAAAAUAAACUUCUAUUGCCAAAUUCGCUCUGCCUUGAAAUGAACUCUUGAAGUUUUCUUUUACUUGAAAUCCGAACUUGAAAUUUCUUUCAUUUGCCAAAAACAAUCUUGAAUAGUUGAGUGGGAGACAAAAUAAUGAAGAAUCUUGAAAUAUGAUACUAGCUUUUGAAUAAUUGAGCCAUCUUUUGAAAAACUUUACAAAGAAAGAUUCCUUCUAUAAUAAAGUUGUCUUUUUCUUGGAAUGGAUGGCAAUCUGUUGAAAAAAACCUGAUUAGUUGGCAUGCAUAAUUUGAAAAGAUUUUCCCUUCAUUUAUUGAUCCGGUAAUUUCUCAAUUCUUCGAGAAAAUCGGGUUCUUGUAGUCAUAUGAUCCUCUUUUCUUGAGCAAGAAAUUAAUCAUAACCUAAAUCAAUUAGGUCAUCACCAUUGUCUGUCUCUUGAGAUUUUUGAUCAGAUUCUUGAAUACUUGAUUUUUAGAAAUUUGUUCAUAAAUUUCUAAUAAUUCUUUUGGAUCUUUGCAUUUUAAUAACAUUAAAAUAGUCCUUUGUUUUUCAAUCAGAAAAUAUGCCUGAUCAUCUUGUUCUUUCGUUGAGAAUUUUGGGACACCCAAAUUUCUUUGUUCUUGAAUCUAUGAUUGAACUGCUUUUGGACAACAAUUUGUUUCUUUGUAUUUAGACCACCAUUUGACUUUGAAUCUUCUGGUAAUCUUUUGAGUGAAGUAUUCAUCAUUUUGAUUCUGCAGUAGAAAGAAAUCCCAGCAAAAAAUCCAGGAAACUUUCAUAUUGAAGGCAAAGUGGAACAAAACAUUUUCUUGAGGCUUUAAAAAUAUUUUAGCCUCUCUUUUGAAGUAUUCAUAUCCUUGAAGAGUAAGACUGAGUAAAAAUUUUUCUUCAAGUCCAUGAUACAAAAAUCAUGUUUGAAACCAUUUUGGAAAAUGAGGAUGACAAUUUUGAUUAAAAAUAAUGAACCAUGAAUGGGUAAUAGGUCUAAAGAAAAAGACUAUGUACCAGGCAUUGAUAUAAUUAAAAUAAUUGAAAUAUUUUAAAAGUUGUAAAAUAUGUUGAAGAGAGCUUAAGUCUCUUUUUUCCCAUGGGUUUUGUCCCCAGUCUUCGUAAGACAAUACCCUAAGAAUACUGAUUUUUGAAAACAUCGUUUCUUCUUUAUUUUGAGGAUCUGGAGUAUGAGAAAUUAUGGCUGAUCUUGUUUUCAAAAGGAUAGUCUCAUAAUAAUCUUGGGAUUUUUUGAAAUUUGAUGGCAUGAACCAAAAAUUGGUUGGAAAAAUGUUUGGAAGACAUUCGUCCAAAUUUUUGUAUCUAUGAAGCCAAUAUGUUUCCAUAUCAAGGGAAUUUUCAAAGAUACUUUUGGUAAAAUAUUGAAAAUUUUGAGAAGGGUUUAUUUGAGGAAGUUUUCCAGAGCUUUGGACGACUUUUUGUAGUUUGAAGGGGUAGCUUUAUUUUGAUUGGGUUUUUUGAUAAGAGUCGAAAGGGUAUUUGAGGAGGAAGAAGCUUCUUGAGCUUCAUUUGGAGAAUGAUCUUUUGAGAGAUCAUUAAUUGAGAAAAAAGGAGUAGAAUUUUUCUUUCUACUUUGUUUCUUUUGAAACGGAUUUUGAUCUUCUUCUUCAACUUGUUUCACACAACUCAUUUUCAUUUUUUUUGUGAAUGAACUCUCUUGUGAGGAAGUCUGCUAAGAAGUUUGAUUUCCCUUGUAUAUAUAAAAUUUCGAAAUCAAAACAGGACAAAAUAGCCUGCCAUCUUACAAAGAUUUGUUUAGAAACAAGAUUUUUCACAUCUUUUUGUAAAACAUCUUUUGAGGCUUUAGAAUCUGUUUUCAAAAUAAAUUUUUUAUUGAUAAGAUCGUCUUGAAAUUUUGAAAUACACAGUACUAUUGAAAGAAUUUCCUUUUUGAUAGUGGAGUAAUUCUUUUGAGGACCGGUCCACAUCCACUGUGAUACCUAACUAACUGUUCUUGAGAUGACCCUAGUGGGAUUUGCUUUAACAUGCCACCAUACCCAAUAUCUGAGGCAUCAGUCUCAAUAAUAAUUGAAGCUGUGGCGUCAAGUAUUGAAAGAUAUGGAAUAUUUUUAAUUGCUUUUUUGACUCUUUGAACUGCAACUGUGUGCUCGUAACUCUAUGGGUCAGGGUUGUUUUGUAGUCUUUUGAAUAAUGGGGCACAGAUUUGACGUAUACUUUUGACAUAAUUGACACAAUCUAAAAAGCGUUGCAAACUUGUUUUAUCUAUGAUUUCAUCUGAAAAUUUGUUAAUGAAAUCAAAACUUCUUUGAAUAGGAGUUAAAGUGUCAUUAUGAAUAUAAUGACCAAGAAAACGUAUUUUUGUUUGAAAUAAAACAAUCUUCUUAGCAGAAAACUGCUAAACCAUUUUUCUUAGUAACAGAAUGAAUGUAUGAAUAUGUUUAGAAUGUUGUUCUAUAUUUUCACAAAAUAUAAGAACAUGAUCAAUGUAAACAAUAAUGAAUUUUGAAAAAGGAUUGAAAAUAUCAUUCAUAAUUUUUUGAAAUUCAAAGAGAGCAUUUUUUAGACUGAAUGGCAUAACAUUCUAUUCAUAUUGUCCAAAAGGAACAUUGAAGGCAGUCUUGUAUCUGUCUUCUUCUUUAAUUUGAAUUUGCCAGAAACCUGACUUAAUAUCAAAUUUUGAAAAGAUGACAGCUUUACAAAAACGAUUCAAAAGAUCUUUCUUUUGAGGAAUAUGAUAUCUAAUCAUUGAAGAGCAGUAUUGAGGGGUUUAUAAUUAAUAACCAAACGAGGAACUCUACGUUCAAUUUCAGUAGAAUUAUUGAUGUAAAAAGCUGAACAGCUCCAAGGAGAUUUACUUGGUCGGAUUAAACCUUUCUCAAGUACAUCAUUUAUUUCUUUAAUACAAAAAUCAAGUAACUCUUUAUUCAUUUGAAUAGGACUUGAUUUUGUAGGAAUAUUUGAUUCAUGAAAAUCAGAAUUGUAAGGAAGAGAAGCAUGUUUCUUUCUAUCCCAGAAGGCAUUUGGAAUGGUUGAACAAAUUUCUUUUUCAAUUCUAUUUUUUAAUUCUGAAUUUUUUGCUUGAAGAAUAGACUCUUGCAAUCUGUUCUCCAUUUUUUGAAAUUGAAUUUCUUUUUUAAGAAAUUGAAUAUGAUUUCUUUUUAAAUUAAUAUUGUUGAUACUUUUUGAAAUAGCAGCCUCUUUUAAAGAAUUAAUAUCUUUAUAAGAAUGAGGAUUUGUAAAUUCAAAAAAUAUUUUUUGAUAAAAAACUUUUGUAGUUAAUCCUUUAUAAUUAGCUUUGAAAGGAUAAAUUUGAACAAUAAAAGGUGUACCAAGAAUAGAUUCUCGAUCCAAAUCCUUUACAAAAUAAAAAAUAGUUUUGAAACAAAUAUUUGAAUUACAAACAUGAGAUUUUGAAAUUUUAUAAUUGAUAUUAAGCUUUUUUUCACUAGCUUCAUAAAGACGCUUAGUGGUUUUUUCAAAGUAUUUUGUAGGAAACAAGUCUUCUUUGAUACAAUUUUGAUCUGCACCUGAAUCAAUAAGAACCUGUGUUGUAAAUUUGAAUUCUUUAUUUACAACAAUGGUCAUAUUGUAAUACCAUUUUUAAAGUUAAAUUUGGUUAAUAACGUUAACCUUUUCUUCUUCAGAUUUGAGAAGUUUGAAAUCAGAAUCUAAUGAACAAUCAGGUGAAAAUUUAGAAUGUUUUGAGGAAACUUUCAAUUUUCCUUUGAAUUUUGAAUAAAAUUCAUCAUUUAAGUUUUUUGCUUUCAUACAAACGACUUCCAUAUGAAUUUCUUUGACUUGAUUUUCAAGGUCUGAGAUUUUAGUUUUCAUACUCUUAAUCUCUUAUUGAAGAUCAGGAAUAGAAGGUUUAGAACCUUUAGAAAAUUCUUUUUGAGGUCGUUUGAGAAUUUGAUUGAUAUUGAUAUCAUCGAAAUCUUGUUUUGAAGUAGAAGGUAAAAGAGAGAAGAGUUUUUUCUUGAGAUUAGGAUUAUCAAUCCUAUCAAUGAUAUCUUGAAUAACUUCUUCUUCUCUAGAUAAAAUAUUUAUAGUUUUACAACCACAAAUUUCUUUUUCUGAGUUUGAAGAAAUAUCAGAUGAAUGAGGAAGAGGAGAAGAUUCAUAAUCAGAAUCUUCUUGAUUAAGAAAAACUUGUUCUAAUUCUGAGUUAGACUCAUUAUCAGAACUUGAUUCAAUAAGAUUGAGAAGUUGAGUUUUAGUAUCUUCAUCAAUUUGAAGAUUACUAAUCUUGGUUUUGAGUGGACAUUUAUUGGAAUAAUGACCAGUCUUAUUGCACUUCUAGUAAGUAAUAUUUGAAGAAUUUUUUGAAUUUUUCUUUUUUGAAAAAGGUUUUCUUUUGUUAGAAAAUUCUUCUGGAUAUUUUUUAAAAUAUUUUCUUUUAGAAAAUUUUCUAUUUUUAGAAAAAAAAUUUGAUUUUGAAGAUGGAGGAAUGAUCUUUUCAUAACCAUAUUGUUCACAAAAAUAUCCAAGUUCUUUUUGACUCUUAGACUUUUCUGCUUUCAAUUUGGCUUUGAGUUUUAAAUCAUUACACAAAUUUAAAGCUUCUUUAUUGAUAAAAUUAAUAAUUUCUCCAUAGGUAAGUGUUUGAAGGUCAUCAAAUUCUUGAAAAAUAGAAUUUUUUUACUCUUUCUGCAAAGAGUUAUGGAAGUCCAGAAAUGAAUUUUUCUUUCCAAAAAGAUUGUUGCCAAUCUUCUCUUAUCAUGAUACGAGAUAAAAACAUAUCUUUGUACCAUCGAAAAUCUUGUAGUUUUGGACAUCUUAAAUUUAUCAAAAUGUCAUUUUGCAUUUGAACAAUAUUUUCUGAAGUACCAAUAAAAAGUUUGAUAAUAGUUAAACCAAGAACGGUAAAACUAUCACUAAUCUCAUUUCCAUUUGUAUCAUUAUUUUCAUCACGUUUGACAGCAGAAAAGAUAAUAUCCUUCUCAGUUUGAGAAAGAUAAUUAUCCCACCAUUGACCAAGUUGUCUAGUGAAUCCAAGAACAAUAUUAUUAGUAGCAUCUCUUCUUGAAGUACCUUUUGUAAGAUAAAUUUUGUAACACAUGGUCAUUUGUCCCAUAAAAUUGAUAAUUUGAUAUUCAGUAAGUCCAUCGAGAUUCCACUCGACACUGAAAUUACCGCCAUAAGUUCUUUGAGGAUUAUCUUUUUCUUCAAAAAGCUGAUCAAGGAAUGAAGGACGAGGAUAAUAUUUUGGAAGAUUUUGAUAGUUAAAUUUUCUCAAUUUAUUAAUUGAAUCAUAUUUUUCAUCAAUAAAUUGAGCUUCAAUUUCAUCAAUGGUAUUGAUGUUUUUUGAAACAUGAAAUUUUUUUAAUUGAGUGGCAAGUUCAGAAAGAAUUUCACUUUCAGUUUGAAGAGUAGAAGAUUUUCCAAAUUAAGGAAUCAAAUCAUUACUUUUGAAAAUUGAAGAGGAAGAGGAUGAUGGUUUUGAUAAAUUCUUAUCUUUACUACUACUUUCUCUAAAUUCUUUAGAAGAAUCUUUUUGAGAAGUAAUAUUCUCAGAUUCAGAAUUUGAUUCGAUACAAUUGAGCUGAGAAAACAUAGAUUGAAGAACAAUAUUAGUAUAAUUGUUCUGAGAUUUGAUAUUUUUGAUAUCCUUAUCAACAACCUAAGAUUCAUCAUAUCGUUCUUUAGGAAUCCUCUUGAGGGGAGAUGCAAUGAUUUCAGUUUUUCCAUGAGGAAUAACUAUUUCUUGCAUAGGAGGACGAGUUGAUUGGAAAGUAUUUCCUUCUGGAGUUUUCCAAGUAUUGACACGAGUUUUUGAAGUAAAAAUUUUUAUUUUUUCUGGCCUUUUACCAAAAACUUUGAAUUGAAUCUAGUCAUAGAAACUUAAAUCAGUAGAAGAUUUGAAAUAAGAUUCUUUUUGUUUUUUUUCUCUGAAAAGUUUUCUAAGAUUUUUGAUACAAAUAACUGAUCAUUUUUGAAUUCUUUUCUUCUAUCAAUUUCAGAAGAAAUAACAUUACAUUAAUGUUCAAGAUUGGAGGAAGGAACCAUAUUUGAAAAAGUUGGUGAUUUUGGUUGAUCAUCCUUUUUUUUAUAUUUAUUUUGAUAAUGAGAUUUUGAAAUAACAGGAGUAAAAUCUGCUCAUUUGUAUGAAGAAUGAAAGGAUGAUCUGGGUUUUUCUUCAGAUCUAGUUGAGAAAAGACUUAGCAGAAUAAGAUCUUUGAAUCCUUGAAGAUGAUCCUUUGAAAAAGAAUCUUAGCUUUUCCAUCUGGAAAAGUAAGAAUUUGAUUUAGAGUUGUUCUAGUUUGAGCAAGAACAGGUGCUUGAACAUUAUCAAAAUUCCAUUCGAGUCCAUGGGAUUGAAGAUUCCAUGGAAUUCUUUUUGGAAUUUCGACAUUUGAGUGAAAAGGAUUGACUUCAACUAAAAGACUUUCAUCUCUUGGUGAAGAAUGAAGAGCUCCAAUAUUAAGUUGAGUUCAUAAGCUUAUAAUAUACUCUGUAUAUUACAGCAAAAGCAUUUGACCUACUAUCAAAUUCAAGAUUUUUUGUUUGAAUAUGAAGAUUGAGAGAAUCGAUAAUUGCUCCAUCAGUAAGUUUGAUAGAAAAGUUUGGAUAAUAGUUUGAAAAUACUGAACCACUUUCUAGAUUUGAUUCUAGAAGUGAAAGUAAUGAAUUUUCAAAAUUGAGAUGUCUCUUAUCUCUAAGAGUAAGUAAAAUUGGAACAUCAAGACCAAGUCUAAACAAGGGCUUGCCAGCUUUUUGAACUAAUCCAACAUGAAAAUAUUUAAAUUUCUUCCUGUGGGAUUCAAUAGCUUCUUUUGUAAGUAAAUUAAUGAAAGAAUUUUGACUAUUAAUUGAAAUAGUUUGUUCAAUAGUUUCGAUAACAUAAUUUUGAGAAAAAUCAAAUUUUCCUAUUUCAUAGAUGGUAUGUUUAUCCAUCUUUGGAAUAGUCCAAUUUUGAAGACAUUGUUCAAUUUGUGCAAUUUGAAGUUCAUGAGAAUUGAAAUCAUUAGAUGCAGAUGCAUGAUCAAUUUCUUCUUCUGUUUGAAAAAUAUUAGUUCUAUUCUCAUUUGAUUCAUUUUCACGUCUAUUUCUAGACCUCGAUCUCUUUAACAAAUUAGUAACUGAAGACAUAAUUGAAUAAAAAUGAAAUUACUAUAAAACAAAGUAAGAGGAUUAACAAGUUCUCCCCAAGCCUACAACGGGACCACCUUUCAACGCCUACACCGGCAACACGGGCUGACCAAAUCUUAAUAGCAAACGUUUAGGUUUGAACAAGGCUUUCCUAAAUAUCUUGUGCCUAUAGUGUUUGACAAUAAUAUCACUUUACUCUCUUAUGGCUCUGAUACCAAAAUAAAGAAGAAACGAUGUUUUCAAAAAUUAGUAUUCUUAGGGUAUUGUCUUACGAAGACUAGAGACAAAACCCAUGGGAAGAAAAGAGACUUAAGCUCUCUUCAAUAUAUUUUACAACUUCUGAAUAUUUCAAUUAUUUUGAUUAUAUCAAUGCCUGGUACAUAGUCUUUUUCUUUAGACAUGUUACUCAUUCAUGGUUCAUUCUUUUUAAUCAAAAUUGUCAUCCUCAUUUUCCAAAAUGGUUUCAAACAUGGUUUUUGUAUCAUGGAUUUGAAGAAAAAUUUUUACUCAGUCUUACUUUUCAAGGAUAUGAAUACUUCAAAAGAGAGGCUAAAAUAUUUUUAAAGUUUCAAGAAAAUGUUUUGUUCUAAUUUGCCUUCAAUAUGAAAGUUUUCUGGAUUUUUUGCUGGGAUUUCUUUCUACUACAGAAUCAAAAUAAUGAAUUCUUCACUCAAAAGAUUACCAGAAGAUUCAAAGUCAAAUGGUGGUUUAAAUUCAAAGAAACAAAUUGUUGUCCAAAAGCAGUUCAAUCAUGGAUUCAAGAACAAAGAAAUUUGGGUGUCCCAAAAUUCUCAAAGAAAGAACAAGAUAAUCAGGCAGAUUUUCUGACUGAAAAACAAAUGAUUAUUUCAAUGUUAUCAAAAUGCAAAGAUCCAAAAGAAUUAUUAGAAAUUGAUGAACAAAUUUCUAAAAAUGGAUCUAAAAAAUCAAGUACUCAAGAAUUUGAUCAAGAAUCUCAAGAGACAGACAAUGGUGAUGACCUAAUUGAUUUAGGUUAUGACGAAUUUCUUGUUCAAGAAAAGAGGAUCAAACGACUACAAGAACCCAGUUUUUUUCGAAGAAUUGAGAAAUUAGCGGAUCAAUAAAUCAAGGGAGAUUCUUUUCAAAUUAUGCAUGCCAACUAAUCAGCUUUUUCUCAAAAUAUUGUUGUCCAUUUCAAAAAAAGAUAACUUUAUUAAAGAAGGAAUCUUUCUUUUUAAAGUUAUUCAAAAGCUGGUAUCAUAUUUCAAGAUUUUUCAUUAUGUUGUCUCCCACUCAACUAUUCAAGAUUCUUUCCAGCAAAUGAAAGGAAUUUCAAGUCUGAAUUUCAAGUAUAAGAAGACUUCAAGAGUCCAUUUCAAGGCAGAGCGAAUUUGACAAUAGAAGUUUAUUUUCUUUGUUAUUUUUGUUCUCUAAACUUACAAAAUUGUAUUUCAAUUAUAAUAAACAUUUCUUUCUCAAUUUGAUCUCUUUCUCACUAUAUAUAUAUAUAUAUUUUUUAUUUUUAUUUUUAUUUUUAUUUUUAUUUUUAUUUUUAUUUUAUUUUAUUUUAUUUUUUUUGGGGGAUAAAUCAACCAUGACAUGUAUUAUUGAGAUGAAAGAAAAAAAUUACAGUAGGAGAGCACAUUAAACUCAUGUUUGGUUUAGAUAAUCGAAUUUUUAGUAAAUUUUGAUAAAAGUUUAUGGAAUGUGUGGUUGAAAAGUUAUGGAUCUCAUGAAAUACAUGGUUAUAAUUAAUGGUUUACUUUGACUUAGAUUUUAUUUUACCUUUUAAGCUGUACCAAAUAGGGACUGAUUAGUUGGAAGAUGAGUUACUUAGAUUGUGAGAUGAGUUACUUAGAUUGUGUUGAUGUUAGUGCAUAUCUCAAUUUCAUAAAAGCUUAAUGAAGACAACAAAAAUUAUUUUAAAAUACACGCAUUCCAAGUUUAUUAAAAUAUAAAACAUAAUACUUGUAAUGAAAGAUGGCUACACAUCGACAGUGUAGUCUCCCAAGCAAAGACUACAGUUUAUUUAAUUAAAACCAAAUUAAUGUAGUCUCCAGCAGAGAUCUACAUUUUUUUUUUUAAUUAAAGUCAGUUUAAUAUCAUGAAACAGAGUUUAUUAACUCAACCAGCUUCUUAGAUAGAUAAGUAAUUUAUCCCCCAGCUUUUUCAGCAAUGCAUCAAGCGAUUGCUAACUCCUUGAUGAAAGCCUCUUCCACUGUUGCACCAGUCAUCACCUCCUCAGUAAUUUUUAUUUUUUUAUUUUUUAUUGUUUGUUGUUGACAGAAUCUUCAAUUCAUGAGGGGAAUUUUAGUAAAAAAUAUAAGGAAGCUUUUUGUCUUGCUAGAUUCAAUCUGGAAGGCAACAUAUCAUUAAGUUUAUGUUCACAUGAUCUUAAUGUUGUUUGAUUUGUUUUGCUGGAUAUGUUAAAGGUGAAGAUUAUUAAGAAUUGAGUGUUGGUUGAUUUCUUUUGUUUCAAAAGGGUACUGAUUAGGAUUUGUGAUGUUAACAGUGAAUACUAAAUGUAAGGUCUGUUUGGAUGCUAAAAAGAUAAGUCUCUAUAAAGGUCGGCCCUAGUACGAUCUCACUCAAAUCAAUAUUACUCGAGUUUAAUAUACAUGAUUAAUUUUGAGCUACCAAACAAGCCCAAUAUUGUUAAGGUAAGCUGAUUUAAUUUAAAAAUUAAUAUUACACAUCAAGUAGUUAUUUUAAUGAGUUAUAACUUGAAUUUGCUUUAUCUAAAUUAACUUUUUCUCAAGUCCACAAUGUGUCAUUUAGUAUGAGUAUCGGAAUGAGUCCAAUAUUGAUAAGAUAAUUUUGAUGCUCUAAUAACUACACAUUUGAUACAAAUAAAUUAUUGAUCCCGAAACUGAUUUUCACUUUAAUCCCUCAAAAUCUCAAAUUUAUUAAAAGGUCCUUGGAUCAAAAUCAAAAGAAUCUAGUUAUGUUUUCACUCACUAAAUAAUCCUAACACGUCACAUUAUCGGCUAAAAAUUAUAUAUUUCUCACUAUUUUGCAAUCUAAUCCCUAAAUUUUGCACUUUUUAUAACUAGAAAUCAUUUUUCUCUUUACGAAUCAUCCUUACAAUAUUCAAAGGACUUCAAAUUAUGCUUCACAAAAAACUUAUUCAUGAUUUCUAAAUUGCACUUCAUUCAAGUUUUUUCAAUUAAUAAUUUUGAAGAUAACUAUAUACAUGACAUUUUUUUUUCACAAACGGGAUAAUUCCGCUAAAUAUUAUGUUAUUGUAGUCUCUAAAGUUGUUGAAAUUUUUUGAUUUUUAUUUUUUUUGCAAUUCUAUCUUUUGGAUUGUUACAAGGCCUCUUGUAAAAUAUAAAUCUAUUAUUUACUUAAACAUUUAAGUAUUUUUCCCGUUUGUAAAAAAAUUAUAUCUAAAGGUCUCAUAACGAUGACUCGUCUAGAGUCUCAAAAUUCUUGGGGCUGCCCUGGUCUCUAUAACUUAUCUCUAUAAUUUGAUCAUUUUGUAUCUUGGUUGUCAUUUUGAGACUGUUCUACUGAAGAGCAUUAUCCACUUUUGGGUAUGCUUAAUGAGGGAAUAGGUAUUGAGAGUGGUCAUGUAAACUAUGGGCAAAAAAUCAUUUGCGUUCAUUUUACUUUUCUACACUAAUUUUUGGUCUUUUUGAUUUUGGGGGUAUAAUCAUUAUUUCUAUUUCUGGGCAUUUCAGUUUAUAAUAAGCAUGUUUGGGGUAGCUUAUAAGCCUGAGAGAGAAAGAAAAUUAUAUGUGAAUCCACAAAUCUCUAUUAGCUAUUUGUCUGGGUGAUUUUCUUUAUCAUGUUAUAAUUGGUGUGAUACAAUCUCAAUUUCUAUUUCUAUUUCAAUUCUAACCAACAUCUUCAUGUCUUGAAUGUCACUUCAAGGAGCAUCCGACAAAAUUUGAACGUCUAUAUCCAAGGGAUAAAAAGCACAAGAUGAGAAAUGAUUUAUUAUUAUUUUCCAAAAAAAGAAACUCUAUCUUCUUUGGUACAAAGUUUCCUAUAUAGAUAUAUUAUCAAAUUUUGUCUCUGAAAAAAUUUAUUUUGUUGGUUCGAGUCCUUAAAAGUGUCAAUUUAUACUGGACUAUGCAUAGUAUCCCUUGAGGCUAGUCUUCUAUGCAACAAGCUCCAUUUAGUGGCAUAGAAUCGUGUUGCUCCGUGGCACAUAAAAUAUUUUAAUUUGAAUUGAAUCUGAAAUUAAAAAGAAAACAAAAAUGUGCUGAGUUUAGGAUUGCCUGUAAUGGUCUAGGAUGGCACAAAAUCUAGGGUUUGUGCCGGAUCCACAAAAGUAUGUUAUGCAUUAACAAGGUAAUUUAUGAGGGUGGCUAAAGUGAAUUCUAAGAAAUGGCAGUAAGAUUACUUUUAUAGGCUGCCAACAUUAUUGAUGGAAAUUUAGGCACAUUGGUACAAAGUGUAAGAUUAGGAGAAUAGAAUAAAGUGGGAUAUAUGUUAGAGAGAUUUGUAUUAAGGUGAAUUACGAAGUUAAUACGGUGUACAAAAAAAUAUUUAAGUACUAAAAAGUAAAAGAUAAAACAAAAAAUAUUGAUAAUAUUUUUAUUUAUAAAUAAUUUUUUAAUCAUAAACUAGUUUUCAUGUAUGAUUAAUUUUUUGACUUGUAAGCCAUUCUUUUCUUAUAAGUAAUUUUUAUUUUGUACUUACAAGUGGAUUUUUACUUUUAGCCAAAUAUUUUAUCAUUAAGUGAAUUAUUUUACUUGUCGUAGAUUUUGAAUUGUAAGUGUAUGUGUUCAUAAAUUUUUACUUAUUAGCAAAUUUUUACUUAGUAAAUAAAUUAUUUAACAUAGAAGUGAAUGUUUUACCUAUAAGUUAAAUUUUUACUUGUAAAUGAAUUUUUAAAUUUAUGAAUGAAUUUUUACUUAUAUGAUAUAAUUGAGACAAAUGUAAAAUUUUGCCUACCACGUGUUAUAUAUCUUUAAGAUAAGAUAUUUCCAAAACUAAUUUUAACUUCACAAAUGGGCCCCCAAGUUUUUGUCCAAAUAUAAAUACGACAAUUACGAGUGAACCAAUAUUUUAAUAAGUGAAGUUUCAGUUUCAUGGUCCUUCAUAUUAAAUGAUGAGCAGGUUCAAAGCUUUUAAAAGGUCUUUCAAUAUAAUUUUGAAAUUGAGUCAAAUGUAAAUAUUUUUCAUGAAUAUUUUUAUAUAGAUGUUUAUCCCAUGUUAUCUAAAUUAGAUUCCAUAUUUUUUAAAAUUAUAAUUGCACAAAUGGUCCUCAAGUCUUCUAUGCAAAUCUAAACACAACAAUCACGGCUGAACCAAAAUGGUCAUAUUAACAAUUAUUGGAUAAGGUACCGAUGCUUUUAAAAGGUCACAACCACAUAUUCAUAUCAAUGAGUGUCAUGUUAUCUAAAAUUUGGAUUAGACAUUUCCAAAACAAAUUUGAACUAAUUGUAGAAGUACUACCAACGUGUUGCGAAUAUAUGAAAUCAAGACUAUCAUUUUUAUCAUGACACAUCCUUUCCAUCACUUGUAGUACAAUUUCACCAUAAAAAAUGUUCGUGCAUUAUUCAGUUCUAAUUAAAUGUAAGAGAAGAAAGAAACAACAUAAAGACUUUAUAUUUAUCUAAAAUAACAAAAUGAUGAAAGGAAAAAGAAUUUCCCUUUCAUCUUCAUCUCUCUAAAACAAGUAGUUGAAAUGCAGAACUAGGACCAUCUCUCUUUCUCUCUCUUAAACUAUCCUCUCUUGCCAUAUUUCCCCACUCUAUAUUCUCAAAACACUAAUUCCACUUGGCCAUUCCCCCAAACCCAAACCUUAUUGAAUAAUAUUCAAUCUUGUAGUAGGGUAAUUGCUAUGUCCACAAGUAAAUCAGUCAUCUGAACAUCUGCCAAGAAAUAACAUUGAAUUUACACAGUGGAAAAAGUUGGGAUUUAAGCAAAUAACUCUUAAACUAGAGAAUUAUAUCAGAAUCGCUUUAGAAAUCAUUGGUUAAUUGGUGUGUCGCAUCUACCCAUAAACAUAACAAUUUUAAUGGUUUGGUUUGGGUUUCGAUACUUUAAUUGCAGUUGGAAACUGAACAUGAAUGAUUAUAUAAAUAUUAAUUUCUUUUUUUCAAAGUUGGUCUAAAUUGAACAUGGAUUGGAUCAGAAAAUUACUAUCUUGACCUCCAAAAAAAUAUGAUAUUAAAAAUUUAUUUUAAAUAUAGGUAAUUGAACGUUAUAAAACCAUUAGGUGUAGAUUUGAUGUUUUUCAAAUGCAAUUGUAUUACUAAAAAUUUUGUUAGAUACAUCAAUUUAAAAUUUUUUUUAUUUAGUUAAAUAACCUUAAGUAAAAUUACAUAAAUAUGGUUUUAAUACAUUUAUCAUGUAAAAUAAUUUAUUGUUAAACCACAAUCAUAAACCUAAUUUUCUUUCUUUCUUUUCCCUCAACAGCCAUGCCAUAGCUUUUCCGUCGGUGGCCUUUGCGUUCUAUCACGAUGGAAAAUAAUUAUGUUUUUAGUCUGACUUUAUACAUGUUUGGGCAGCUAAGAGAGUUCUUUAGGCCGUCUAAUUGAGUUCUGAUAAUCUUGUUUUUAUUUAUUUCAGAUUCUGUUUCCUCUAGGAAGGAUACUUGUAACAAUUUUCAGAUGUUUGUGGUUACAUCAUGUUUGUGGUUACAUCAUUUAUAACACUUAUAAUUGGAGCAAAUGAAGCCAAGGCAGCCGAUUCAAUGUAGGCAAGUAAACAUAAAUUAUUUAAUGUCGUCUUGAAUUCUUACGUUAAACAGGAAGAUGACAUCUAGUAUGAGGCUUUCUACCAAGUGUGUGUCUUUCCAUCACUUGUAUUACAAUUUCUCCAUAAAACUUUUAAAAAAAAUAAAAAUAAAUCAUGCAUUUUUCACUUUUAAUUUAAAUGUAAGAAACGAAAGAAACAACAUAAAGACUUCUUCUUCAUCUAAAAUAACAAAAUGAUAAAAGCAAAAAGAAUUUUCUUUUCAUCUUCAUCUGUCUAAAACAAUUGCAACAGAAAUGUAGAAACCCUGUCUCGCCAUAUUUCCCCACUCUAUAUUCUCAAAACACUAAUUUAAUGAUGUCGUUCCAGCUACGAUAUUUUAAUUGUAGUUGGAAACUCAACAUGAUUGAUUAAAAAUAUUAAAUAAACUAAAUACAAAUAUUAAUUUUUUUUUUUCAAAAUUUGUCUAAAUUGAACAUGGAUUGGACCACAAAUUACUGUCUUAACCUCUAAAAAAAUUAUGAAUGCUAAAAUGUUAAUUUAAAUAUAGGUAAUUUUGUCAAUUGUCACUUACCAACUACCCUAAUUUCCUACACCAAUCAAUCCUUCAUGAUUGAUAGUUCAUACUUUAGACUCCAAACCCUCUUUACACUUGAAAUGUUGAAGGCUAAAAAGCUCUGCAAUAUCAUUGAUUAAUAGAUAUUUUGUAUAUAUGUGUUUAUGUGUUGGGGGGGAGCGUUUGUUUGUUUCAUUGUCAAUAAUGUGGGAAUAAAAAGUGAAUUAAAAAAAAGUACAUCGAAAAACGAAAAUUUAAAACGUAAUAAAACAUAAGGUGUAGGUUUGAUGUUUCUCAUGGGCAAUUCUAUAACUACUACAAAUUUUGUUAGUUACACCACAAUUUUGGGUUUGUUUUUUAUUUACUUAAAUAGCCUUAAAUAAAAUUACAUAAAUGAUGUUUUAAAAUAUUUAUCACAUAAAAUAAUUUAUUGCUACACCAUGAUAAGUGCAUUUUGUGUACUUAACGAGUCAUAUUACUAAGCUUUCAUGUCGUGAAAUUAUUGAAUUUUACUUAUUUUUGAUUACUUUUUGUUUGCUUCAGUGUUUGACCAGUUUUGAAGCAAUUGGAGAAGAAAAUGAUCAAUUGGCUAUUAAAUAGAAGUUUGUGGACCAAAUCUCACUUGAAUAAAAGUUGGAGAAUCAAAAUUGAGAGUGAACUCAAGGACUAAAGUGCACUAAUUUAAAAGAAGUAAGGACUUGAAGGGAAAGUGACACUUAGUUGGGCUUUGAAAUUGGACUUGCAAUAGGAGUGAAAUUGAUGAGGAAUUGGAUUCUUUUCCAGUUGGAGUAAUAAUUGGCAAUUGAUGGGAAUAGAAUUAAGGGGUAAUUACAUAAAUACCCACAAAAUGGGAGUCAUUUAGAAAAAUCAUGAUAAAAGUUAUUUUGAAGUAAAAAAUACGGUAAUUUUUUCAUUUAGUGUUCAACGGUAAUUUUAUUAAAUUGAAUCUGAAAUUAAAAAGAAAGUCAAAUGUGUUGCCCUAGCAAAAACUCAUAUUUUGACGGUUUAACACGACACGACCCGACAAAAAUUAGGGGUUGCGCCCAAUUCAUGGAAGUUGUUUGAGGAGAAUUCACAAAGCAUGCAGGUAGUGAGAUAUUAAUGACCACAAAAGGAAAUAAAAUCAUGUAAGUGUGCAUUAACAAGACAAAUGAGGAGGGCAGCUAAAGUAAAUUCUAAGAAACGACAGUAAAGUAAAUUUAGGGCAUCGUCGUAUAAAGUGCAAGAUCAAGAGAAUAGAAUAAGGGGGGGAUUUGUGUUACAGAUAUUUGUAUCAAGGUGGAUUAUGAUAUACUAUUUUAUAACAGUGUUUGAUAUUAUACCAUAUCAAAAAAAUACUCAUAUAUCAAAAACAUUUUAACAAUAAAUAUACACACACAUACACGUUUCAUAAACUUAUGAGUCAUUCUUUACUUUUCAGUGAAUUUUUAUUUUUAACCGAAUGUUUUAUAUACAAGGUGAAUUUUUAUACUUAUAGUAUAUUUUUACUUUUUCAUAUCAUUGCAUAAUCGAGACAAAUGUAAAAAAAAUAAAAAAAUAAAAAAACUAAAAAAACAUAAAAAAAUUCAAUCAUAUCUCUAUGUCAAUGAGUAUCUCGUGUUAUCUAAAUUUUUUAUUAGGUCCUUGUGCCCUAUUUUUCUUCCAAAAAAACAUCAUUAUUUUUCAAAAGAUAUAUCGGUCCUUUUUUACUUACAUUUUAAUGAAAUGUUGAAGGCUUUCUAUCACAAGAGAGAAAGUAAUUUUCAAAUUAAGCAUCUAUUUUGUAGAAAUUAAAAUUAAUUUCAAUCAAAGCCAACAAUUAAUUUUAACUACAUAUUUUACGGGCCUCAUAACUUUUCAAUCACACAGUUAUCAACUAUUAUCAUAAUUUAUUAAAAUCUAAUUUUAAUCCCCAUCAAAUAGGGGGUCAAAAUUGUGCAUUUUGUAUAAAUUCCAUUUUACUAUCUGAUGAAAGUAAAUUACGUGAACCAUCAAGGGUAAAAUCGAUAAUUUGGAUGAGCUAUAUAUCUAUCCUACUCAACCUACUGUAACGUAAAUUUUAUCGGCCUCAUUUUUAUUAUUUCAAAAGUCAACAUCAUAUCUAGCAAAAUUUCAAAAUAAUAUCCAAAAUAGAAGCAUCUACGGAUAUAUCCUAGACUAAUUUGUACCACAAAUGGUCGCCCAAGUCCUUUGUCUAAAUAAGUCUGAACAUCUACGGAUCUAUUGAAUUAAAUGCUAGAAAAGAAACAACACAAUAUAGAAACUUUUGUUCAUCUAACAUAAUAAAAUAAAAAGGGAAAUUAUUUGUUUUAUAGAUACAUUAUAUAUACGAAGCUUGUUUUCAAAAUGUUUAUAAAUAAUUUAAUUUAUAAAUAAAAUAAAAAUAAGUUGUGGAUAAGUAGCUAGAUAUUACUUAUAGGUCCCAAUAAUUUGUGGGAAAAAAUAAUUUAAUUGUUUAUUAACAGUUUAUAAACAUUAUCUAAACAUAGGAAAAGAAUGAAAGGAGAAUGUUGAUAAAGGAAUUACCUAGAAUGCGUAUGGACAAAAUUUUCCCUUAAGAAAUAAGGCAUGUGCACACAAACCACUUUGACAAAUCAAUUGGAUGGCAGUUAACGAAAAUGAUAAUUUUGUAGUAAAAGAUUCAAAUGAGGACGGCAGGGCUUUUGGAAACAAGGUCCAUACGCAUCUAAUAGGUUUACCUUUUAGAAUGAAACACCAGUCCCAUAUGAAUGCACAAGAAGGAUCUCAAGUUUGCAGUUGAAUGGAUGAAGCUGCCCUAAGUUGGAUCAUGAUGAGGAAAAAAAUUCAUAGUUGGUUCUUAAGAUUUAUGGUUGUAGAAGAAAAAAUUCACCUAACUUUUCCUGAGUGAAAUAAACAAGAUGAUUGAAGAGGUGAAACUGUGGCGUAGGCACAUUAUUCAAUUUAAAGAGAAACGGAAGAAAUCCUAUUUGAGGGCUUUGGACAAUUCGAAGUGAAGUUGGAGAUUCAUAAGAAUCAACAUGGUAUUAGUCAAUUAGAAUAUAAUUUGUAUUCAUAUGUCCACAUAAAGUAGGUUUUUUAGCUUUCUAUUUGUAAUGAAAGUACGUAUAAAUCUAUAUUACAUAAAAACUAAAAUUUCCUUUCGUCUCCCUAUAAAUAAAGUGUUUAUUUCACCAUUUAUUUAUCCCAAAUUUUUACGAUAUUUUUAGCAAAGCACCAUCACAAUCUCGAUGUAUUUUUCAGGCUCCACUAAUAUAAGACAAAGGGCAUUAUAAUUUUUCUACCAAAAUAUGAAUGGAACGUUAGUGAGUACAAGGGAAAAGGACAUAAACUGGACCUCUAAUCAAAAGUACAAAAGAAAAAAAAAUAUUAAAUAGGGAAUUACUACCUCCUAUACUAUAUAAAGAAAGAAUAAUAGAGCCUAAAUACCAUUUAAAGCGGAAGGCCAUAUUUGUGAAUUUGUACAAGGACAAUAAGUCGUCGAGGUAAGUUGAGAAUGCUAUACUCCUAGUGCUGCGUCAAUUGCAUCCAUCUGAAGUAAGUGAAUUAGCAAUAUGGUUUUCCUCUUGAUAUAUGUAUAAAAUAGGAUCACGAUCGAAGGAAAAAGUUGUAUGAUAUAUCUAAGAGUAUUGUGGAUAAACCAUGAUCCUCUACCACUGGUAAUGUAGGUCGUAGCUAUAAAGAAGCAUGUCUAUCCUCAAGUCCUAAAAUCCAAGUCAACAUGCAAGAUGGAUCCAAUCAAGAAGCUUACAGAUCAACAUAAAAUGAAGUGAAGGCACGAAUACCACCAUCUAUUAUAGAGUGACUAAAUAAUAUUCUUCCAUAUUAAAGUGUUAUAUUGUUACUUCUAUAAAAAUAAUAAUACAAUAUUCUUCUAUAAUACUUUUACGAAAUAAAUUUCAUUCAAGAAAACUCAUCUAUCAAUUAGUAUAGACAAAAUAAAAUUUACUUCUUUGUUAUACAAUUCAAAAUUAAGAGAAUACUUAUAUUUUUUUUGAAGAAAAAAAGUGUUUCUUUAUGAGCUCAAUUGUUAAAAUUUUGUGUCUUUCUUUCAACAUAAGAGAAAUUGCUUUUUCCUAACUCAACUUAAUUAGGGAUUCGAAAGCAAAAAGAUGAAUAAGUUUCACUAACUUAGUUGACUAGAACUUCAUGCUGAUAGUAUAAAUAAGUUAGCGGAAAAUAAUAAAGUAGAGAAGUAAUUAAGCAUACGAGCAUUUUAAUAAAAAAAUCAAAACUCUAUAUAUGGGGAAGAACUAGGAUGGUAAUGAAUAAAAUAGUCAUAUAACUAGGGUUGCAGGUAUAUAAUGAUAAUUUAUUAGUAUAUAAUUUUCAGCAAUUUGUUUAUUGUCUAUUUUAAUUAAUAAAUGGUAUUAUUUAUUUCCAAACCUACUUGUCUUAUUAUAGUCAGCAAAUGUUAUUUCAACAAACCUCUAGGAUGCAAAUGCACUUUUCCUAUAUUUGUUUGAGAUAAGGUAGUGAUAAGAAUUUAUUUGUUUAUUUAUUUAUUUAUUUUUUGGGAGGAUAAACCAACCACAUUCCGUGGCAUGUAUUAAUAAAAUGAAAGAAAAAUUAUUACAAUAGGGGAUACAUUAAGCUCCUGUUUGAUUUCGAUAAAUAACAUAAUUUUAGUAGAUUUUUAUAAAAAUUGAUGGCAUGCGAAGUGAGAAAGUUAUAGAUCCUAUGAAAUGUAUAGUUAUAAUUAAUUAUUGAGUUUGAUUUAGAUUUUAGUUGACUUUUGAGUUGGACCAAAGAGGAACUAAAUUAGUUGGAAGAUUUGGUACUCGUAUUAUUUUGAUGUUAGUGUUGAUCUCAAUUUGGUAAAAACUUAAAGAAGACAACAAAAAAUGUUUCACAAUAUACUCAUUCCAAGUUUAUUGAAAUAUACAACAUGAUACGGGUAAAUAAAGAUGGCUACAUUUCCACGAUGUAGUCUCCAAGCAAAAACUACAGUUUAUUUAAUUAAAGCGAGCUUAAUGUAGUCUCCAAGUAGAGAUCUACAGUUUAUUUAACUCAACCAGCUUCACAGAUAGAUAAGUAAUUUAUUCGGCUGCUGUUGCAGCAAAGCAUCAAGCGAUUACUAUCUCCUCGACGAAAGGCUCUUCAUUUGGGCAAAUUUUUCCGCAUGAACACUGGUCGUUAAAUGCUGAGCAGCAUCCUCCUGGAAAACCCUGAAGCUUGCAGAAUUGUUUACAAAGAUCCACGUCACAACGUCGAACUAGAACAUCCUCCACGAGAGGACGACUCGUGAUACGUGGACAAACUCCUGUGCAACGACACGGACCAGAUGGUCCUGGGCAGCAUGCUGGCUUACCAAAAAGUGAGCAAUAUUUUCUACAAAGAUCCCAGUUACAUUGUUUCGCAUCCACCACAAGAGGACCACUCAUAUCUGUUUAAAACAAGGAAAGAGUAUGAGAUACAGAAACACAGUUUAAUAUAUAAUAUAGUCCAAAGUAAACAAAUACGAAUGCUUUGCUAGCCUGCUAUGAAAAUUAAAGUUGUUCUGAUUAUUUCAAAUUUGGUAAAUUAACAUGUAUAUAGUAUGUAACAAGCUAUGGAGUUGAAUAAAUUACGAACCAGUGGACAGGGAAACCAACAGCAGGAGGGACACUAUUGCAAAUGACCUCACAGAGAACUCCAUAAUUAAGAAAGAGAGAGAGAUAAUAGGAAGCUUGAGUGAAAGACUCCCUGCUUGCGUCUCUUUAUAUAAUGUUUUAAGCGUGCUACCAAAAUUGAUAUAAAAUGUUGGAAAAAUGCUUGUUGUACAUUAUCAUAUUUACAUAAUUUUUUACAGAUUGAUGUAUAAUUUUUAAUUUUUUUUAGUUGAAAGAUUUUGACCCAAACAAAUCUCGUCACAUUAUCUGUCUGUAAACAAAUAUGUAAAUUGUGAUAUAUAUGUAGUACAAACUUUUACGUAAAACACAACUUUUUUAAUGGAGGGUUUGCACAAGAUGUUGACACGUGGACUUGUUGAGGCUUUUAGAUUUACUUUUGGAUAACUUUGCAUGUAACUUUUGAGAGAAACUGCUACAGUUUCUUGGUUCUCCUUCUUUCUUGAAAACUUCACUCGAGAUUCCUAAUAUCCUGCUCCUCCUUUCUGACUUUCGGUUUCUUACUUGGUGAAGAUGAUUAAGAACUAACUGUUCUUUGAUUUGUUUUGUUCUAAAUGGGUAGAUUAGGAUUUGUGGUGUUAUCAGGAAUCGUAAACUUAGGGUAUGUUUGGAUCUAAAAAAAAUUAAGUCACCAUAACUUUAUCUUUUGUAAUUUGACCAUUUUGUAUUUGGAUAUCAUUUUGAGACUGUUCUACUAUAGAGCAUUAUUUUAAUAUUGUGUUUCGUAUUAUACCACAUUAGAAAAAUAAUAUACGAGUACUAAAAGCUGAAAAAAAAAUAUUUUAUGUAUAAAUAAUCUAUAAUCGUAAUUUUAUUGACUAUAUUUUUAUGUAUAGUUAAUUUUUGACUUCUAUGUCAUUCUUUUCUUAUAAGUAAUUUGUAUUUUUGUACUUACAACUAAAUUUUUUUACUUUUAGCCAAAGACUUUACCUGUAAGUGUAUUAUUUUUCUCAUCGUAGAUUUUACUAUUGUUAGUGUAAUUAUGCAUAAUUUUUAGUAAAGUUUUAUUUUCUAUAAAUUAUUUAACAUAGAAGUGAGUGUUUUAUAAAAACCUUAAUUUUUUACUUGUGAGUGAAUAAUUUUUCAAUUUUUGAGUUAAUUUUUACUUGUAUAAAUGGUCUUUUCAUGUCAUUGUAUAAUUGAGACAGACGUAAAGACUAUAAGCACGUUAUACAAAUUUUGGAUUAGAUAUUAAUGGUAAAAAUGGUCCUCAUUUCUUUUGUCCAAAUCUAAGCACAAAAAUCACGUGAACUAAAUCUAGUAAGUGAAGUUUCAGUUUUGUGGUCCUUCAUAAUUAAAGACGAGUAGAUACAAAUUGACGAGAAGACGACACAACUCAAGAUCAUUAAAAGGAUUCUAGAUUGGAUGGAUGUAUUCAUCUUUUUUCUUCUCUAUCAUCAAAACUUUAUAUUCUUGUUAUUGAUUGUGUCCAGCUUAACUCAAUUAUCUACACCAUGUCAAUUCAAAGUUGCUCAUUUUUUGUUAAAUUCUUGUUAUUUGUGUUGCUUGUUUUUUAUUUUAUUAUUUUAUUUUGAUGAUUGUUCAACAUUAAAAUGUGUUUGUGAUUUAUAUUAUUUUCUAGGGGUUCGAUAUAAAUUAGCUUAUGGUAAUAAACAACAUAGGGUAUGCUAGUUGAUAGAAAAAUAUUUGUUUCAUUUCAUCUUAACAUUGCCAGAGUCAUAAUCAUACAGAAGUUGUAUAAUGGAAGUUUGGACAAUCUUUUGAGAAGUUAUGUAGAAAAUGAUACGAAAAUGAGACAUUAUUUUCCAUGAAUUUAAAUUCAUUUAUAAUUAAUUUACUAGCCAAACUACUAAAGAAAGCACACUUAUAGUUGUUUAUGGCCAAUAUCUCUUAAGUGCUUUGGACUUGACUCUACAUCCUGUUACUCAUCAUUCUAGUGGAGACACUAAACAAAGAGAAGUUUAUUAAGAAAAUGCAUGAUCAAGUUCAACAUACGACAUGAAAGAAAAAUGAGAAGUACAUGAAGAUUGCGAACAAGCACCACAAAUUCAUUAUACAACAAGCUUAAUUCCUCAUUUUGUGUAGUGAUAUUUCUUGGGUGUUGAUAACAAGAAGUAUUAAAUAGAGAUAUAAUAGAAAAUUAAGUGAUUAAUUAUACUAUUAACAAGGAAAGAGGCCUAUAAUUUGAGACUAUUACGAAGAAAAUUGGAACCGGAUUAAUAAAAUACUAAUGUGUUGGAGAAAAUACGAGAUUAUAAGUAUAAUUUGAAAUAAAGAAUGCAAGAAAAAUGUAAUUUGCAGAGAAUAGAGAUUUUAAUACAAUAUGGAGAAAGAAUACAAUUUUUUUUAUAUUUACAAUGUUUCUAACUUCUUCUAAAUUAUAAUGAAGAGCCAACUAUAUAUAGGGGAUAUCCAAAACUUAAUAGGAGAGUGAUGGUUGAAGUAGAAUGCAAGAAAUGACAUUAAAAAUUGAAUAGGAGACAAAACAAAGCACACUCCCUAUUUCUAUAUAUUGAGGCGCGGACCCGGUAUUUCAAUAUAAAGUUGUCAGCCCCUACGCCCCUCGUCUCCAUUCCAAACAACUUUCAAGGAUGUUUUUCUUCAUUCCAAAGUCCUUUUCAAGUCUACUUGAAAUUUGGAUUUUUAAAUAGAACCUUAUCUAAAAUUUAUCAAAUAGGCAUUGAACAGGUUUUCCAAAAAAAAUUCCAAAUAGAAUUUCUCUUAACGUACAAAUUUGCCAUCUAUGGCUUUUAAAACUUUUUGUUGAACCAAAAUUCCCCUUAUCUUUUGUUGCCGAAAUGAAAAAUCUUCUUUCCCAUUGAAAAUCCAACUUUGAAAUGUGAAGACGUUUUGAGAAAAUCGAACAACCAAAUGCACAGAUAAGUCACACAAAGUAAUCCUAAAAUCGCAGUAUACACCGUUCUAAAUUCCUAGGGUUUUGUAAGAUUCGCUAUUUUAGAUCAAGAAAAUGUUCAAACGGAUCAAGUCCACGUGUUCUAAUAGGAUAAUCAAUGCAACACGAAUGUAUAUUAACAAAAAAUUAAAAUUCUCACAUAUAUAGUCUCACACAGUGACUAUAUAACAAUUAGAGCAGAAACUUAAUUACCAAUUUGCGAUCAAAUUCAACACUUCAAACAUGGCAAAUAAACCCUAAAUUUCAAGCAUAAGCAAUGUUACCCCUUACGAUAACCAAAUCCUAAUGUCACCCCCACACAAUAACACGCUAAUGCUAAAAUUUAAAUUGGAAUAAACUAAUAUACCAAAGCGUACCAAUCUGAGCUCAUAAAUUACGAGGGAUACAAAUUUAUCACUUUAGAACUACUACUAUUCGUCCUAAAGUCUCCAUUAAUUGCAGGUAUCAAUCAGCCACAAUCGACUCCCGAACGUGCGAAGAAUAAAUCUAUCUAGAUUCCACUGUAUAACCUAAAAUAGAAAACUAAUGACACCAAAAUAUCAGAAAUGAUGUUAGGAAGAAACUGCCUUAAGAGAUCUCCCGCCUGCAAACAAAUCGCGCGCCCUCAAGUGCAGUCAAGUUAUUCUGCUCGUUGGUCUCACUUCUUCAUCGAUCACACGCAUGACAGUUGGUGCCGGACCGCUGUACGUCACACUAGUGAUCUCCGUUUCACCACCACUGGAUUGGGCGAAAAUUGCACAAAUAGAUCUGAUUUUUACAUAGUUUUUUGACAAUUUUUUUAUCCUUUUUUGGCCCGUUUCUACCUAUUUCCUGGAUUUUUUUGGUAUGUUUCACAAAUCAAAUCCACCAUCUUGAAGCUGUGAUACCAAUUUUCCCUAAAGCUUGCUCUAAGAAUCAUCAAAAUGGUGUUUUUUUAAGCUUAGUUUAGUGUCACCUUUCUCUACUAAACAACCAAUCCAAUUGACUCCAAUUCACAACUUCGGUUGCUUCUUAAACUCACUCACUAAGGACAAGAUAAUGAUAAUGAUUUGCUACCUCAAUGGCAAGAAGAAAACACCACAAAGGAGGCAAGGAAGAGAUCAAAAUCAAGGAGCUAACCAUUGGGUUUUUUUUUACACAAAGGCAACUGACUUUUUCUCUCAAUGGGCAGCCACGUUUUCUUCACUUUUCUCGGACAAAUCAUACUACAAAAUGGCUAGGGUUAGGACCAUAUAAAAAGGGUUAGGUUAGGCUUUUAGUUAGACUAAUAAUAAAGCUAAAUGGGCCAAGAUUCAAAGUCAUCCAAGAGGGAAUAUAAAUGGGCCGGGUAGAGCGCUGGAUUUGGUUGUUGGUACUUAUUUCACUCAUCAUUCAAGGCCUAUGAAAUAUAUAUUUCCAUGUUAACAUCAUAGCCCGAAAUUACACAACCCUUAGUGCAGAUCUCAAUUUGAUAAAAACUUAAAGAAGACAACAAAAAUUAUUUUACAAUAUACUCAUUCCAAGUUUAUUAAAAUGCUAAGCAUAAUACUUGUAAUUAAAGAUGGAUACACAUGGACAAUGUAGUUUCCAAGCAGAGACUACACUUUAAUGCAGUCUCUAAGCAAAUAUCUAUGUUUUAUUUAAUUAAAGACAAUGUAAUAUCACGAAACAGAGUUCAUUAAUUCAACAAACUUCUUAGAUAGAUAAGUAAUUUAUUCUCCAACUUUUGCAGCAAUGCAUCAAGCGAUUACUAUCUCCUUGAUGGAAGGCUCCUCCACUGUUGCUCUACUCAUCACCUCCUCAGUAAUUACUUUUUUAUACAGUGCAAUUCAUGAGGGGAAUUUUAGUGCAAAACACAAGGAAGCUUUUUGUCUUGCGAGAUUCAAUCUGCAAGGCAACAUAUCAUUAAGUUUAUGUUCACAUAAACUUAAUAUAAAGGCAAGAUCACACGAUAUUAAAUUCAAGAAACAAGAAAACCUUAAUCAAACAGAAAUAAAACAUUAGAAAAAUGCCACUCUGCCUGAAAAUGUUUUGACACUAGGUGUGAUUGUCUAUCCUCACAAAGUGUGAGGGUUCCACAUGAAUUAAAUAAUGUCCAACCCUCGAGGUGGGUGUGUUCAGUCAUUUCUUAUGUCAAUCAUUAUGUUCCUCUAGCUUGAUCAAAAAAAUUAGGGUCGCGCCAAAUUCACGAAAGUUGUUUGAGGAGAAUUCACAACAUAGGCAAGUAGUGAGAUAUUAAUGACCACAAAAGGAAAUAAAGUCAUGUAUGUGUGCAUUAACAAGACAAUUGAUGUUUAUUUAUUUUAUUUUUAACUGAAUGUACUUUUGAGUCAUUCUUUACUUUUCAGUGAAUUUUUUAUUUUUUAUUUUUAACUGAACGUUUUAUUUACAAGGGGAAUUUUUUUACUUAUAAUAUAUUUUUUACUAUUCAUAUCAUUGCAUAAUUGAGACCCAAAAAAAAAAAAUCAAUCUUAUUUUUAUGCAAAUGAGUGUCUUUCAAAUUAAGCCUCUAUUUUGUAGAUAUUGAAAUUAGGAUUUUAAUCUAAAUCAAUGUCAACAAUUGAUUUUAACCACAUAUUUUAUGGACCUCAAAAAUUUUCAAUCCUGUAUCAACUUUUAUUAAAAUCUAAUUUACUAUCAAACAGGGAUCAAAUUUGUGCAUUUUGUAUUAAAUUCCAUUUUGCUCUAAUGAAAGUAAAUUACGUGAACCAUAGAGGGUAAAAUCGACAAAAUGGAUGAGCUAUCUAUCUAUCCUACUCAACCUACUGAAACGUAAAUUUUGUCGGCCUCAUAUAGAUAUAUAUAUACACACACAAAACGUCCCUACCUUUUGUUUUUUUGGCGCAUUUCAUUCCUACCUUUACCUUUUCUUGUGGAAAACAUCAUUUUCAUCAUUUUUCUCAAUAAAAAGUUAUAAAAGGACUAAUAUUCCCUUCUAUUUAAAUUUAAAAAAAUAAAGAACUAAUUGCAAUCAUAGUUCCAAUUUUUAAAAAAGUUCAAAGGAGAAAGUGGAGGUGGAGAAUUUUUUUUAUCUUUUUAUUUGAAACUACAAUUGCAUUUAGGUCUUUAUUUUUUUUAUUUAAAUAGAACGGUAUAUUAGUCAUUUUAUAGCUUUUUAUUGAGAAAAAUGAUGAAAAUGAUAUUUUGCACAAGAAAAUGUAAAGGUAGAGAUGAAAUACGCCAAAAAACGAAAGGUAGGGACGUUUUCCACAAAAAUCAUGAAAGGAAGGGACGUUUUAUGCUAAUUACCUUACAUAUAUAUAUAUAUAUAGACUAAUUUGUACCACAAUUGGUCUCCCAAGUCUUCUGUCUAAAUAAAUAUAUACACUACAAUCACAAGUGAACAGAAAUUAGAAUAAGUGAAGUAAGUUCUAGUUUCGAUUUUACCAUUUGUACAAGAAAAAUGCACAUAAGGUUUUACAAGUGUUGAGUACCAUAAUUGCUUUGAAAGUCUUUUCAUAUCAUAUAAUUGAGGUAAAUGUAAAAUUUUUCAAACCUUCAUGAAUUAUUGAAUAAAUGUUUGAAAAGAAACGAAACAAUAUAGAAAUUUUUUGUUCAUCUAAAAUAAUAAAAUAAAAAAGGAAAUUAUUUAUAUUAUAGAUAUAUUAUAUAUAAGAAGCAUGUUUCCGAAAUAUUUAUAAAUAAAAUAGAAAUAAAUGGUGGAUAAGUAGGUAUUACUUAUGGUUUCCAAUAAUUUGUGGUUAAAAAUAAUUUGUUCGUUUAUAAAUAGUUUAUAAACAUUAUCUAAACAUAAGGAAAGAAUGAAAGGAGAAUGCUGAUGCGGGAAUUGCCUAGAAUGCGUAUGGAUAAAAUUUUCCCUUAAGAAAUAAGGCCUGUGCACACAAACCAUUUUGACAAAUAAAUUAGAUGGUAGUUGAUGAAAAUGAUAAUUUUUGUAGUAAAAGAUUCAAAAUGGGGACGACAGGGCUGUUGCUAGGAGUUCAACAAAUUCGCACACGGUAUUUUCUUGAAAUUGAUGAAGGGUGUGUGGUGGAAAAUUUGUGUCGAAGCCUUGGUGAACUCCUAGAAAAGGCAACUAAGAAGUUUCGCCAUAAUUUCUAGCUAGGUUAUCGGCAUGGAAGGAUUUGAAAUUUUUAGAACUUAGUGAUUCCACAAGCAUAUAUACAUUAUGGUGGCGUAUGUUGGUUCUCAGUCUUAAGAAUUAUGGUCGUAGAAGAAAAAAUUCAAGACACUUUUCGUGAGUGAAAUAAACAAGAUGAUUGAAGAGACGAAACAGUGGUGUAGGCACAUUAUUCGAUUCAAAGAGAAAUGGAAGAAAUCCUAUUUGGAGGCUUUUGACAAUUCAAAGUGAAGUUGGAGAUUUGUAAGAAUCGACAUGGUAUUAGUCGGUUGGGAUAUAAUUUGUAUUUAUAUGUCAACAUAAAGUAGGUUUUUAGCUUUCUAUUUGUAAUGAAAGUUUUUAUAAAUCUAUAUUAAAUAAAAACUAAAUUUUACUUUUGUCUCCCUAUAAAUAAGUGUUUCUUUCAGCAUUUAUUUACCCCAAUUUUGUAUGAUAUUUUUAGCAAAGCACCACUACAAUCUCAAUAUAUUUUUCACGCUCCGCUAAGUUAAGAUGAAGGGCAUUAUAAUUUUUCUACCAAAAUAUGAAUGGAACAUUAGUAGGUACAAGGGAAAAAGGACAUAAACUUGACCUCUAAUCAAAAGUACAAAAGACAAAAAUAUUAAAUAGGGAAUUACUACCUCCUAUACUAUAUAAAGCAAGAAAAAUAGAGCCUAACAGACCAUACUUGUCAAUGUGUACAGUGACAUUAAGUCAUCGGGCUAAGUCGAGAAGGCUAUACUCCUAGUGCAGCGUCGAUUGCAUCCUUGUGAAGUAAGUGAAUUAGCAAUCUGGUUUUCCUCUUGAUAGAAGUAUAAAAUAGGAUCACAAUCAAGGGAAAAAGAUGUAUGAUAUAUCUAAGAGUGCUGUGGAUAAACCAUGAUCCUCUACUACUAGUGAUGUAGUUAAUAGCUAUAAAGAAAGCCUGUCUAUCCACAAGUCCUAAAAUCCAAGUCGACAGGUAAGAAGGAUCCAAUCAAGAAGCUUGCAGAUCAACAUAAAAUGAAGUGAUGGCACGAAUCCACCAUCUAUUCAAGAGUGACUACCUAAUAUUCUUCCAUAUUAAUGUUAUAUAUUGUUACUUCUAUAAGAAUAACAAUACAAUAUUCUUCUAUAAUAUUUUACGAAAUAAUAAAUUUCAUUCAAGAAAACACGUCUAUCAAUUAGUAUGGACAAAAUAAAAUUUACUGCUUUGUUAUUCAAUUCAAAAUUAAGAGAAUACAUGCCUUAAAACCUUUCGCUCGAGCCUCUUGUCUUGAAUGCAGUCCAUUGCCCAUAAUCUAAUAAGGUAAGGAAGAAUAACAAACUUCAAAACUUCUUCCAUCAUUUCAUUACAAAACCAAAAAACCUGAAAAAGAUGGAUUAUUCUCUAAUCAUGUUGGAGACGGAUUCCUGAACCCUGUUCACGUCAUGUCACGUCGAGGUACAGUAAAAGAAAAAAACAUUAUUCUUUAUGAUCUCAAUUGUUAAAAUUUUGUAUCUUUCUUUCAACAUAAGCGAAAUUGCUUUCUCCUACCUCAACUUGAUUAGAGAGUCGUAAGCAAAAAGAUGAAUAAGUUUCACUAACUCAGUAGACUAGAACUCCAAACCUAAUUGUCUUAUUAUGGGCAGCAAAUGUUAUUUCAACAAACCUUGGGGAUGCAAAUGCACUUUCCCUAUGUUUAAUUGAGAGAAGAUAGUGAUAAGAUUUUAUUUUAUUUAUUUAUUAUUAUUAUUUUUUUUUUUUGGGAGGAUAAACCAACUACAUUAAGUGACAUGUAUUAUCAAAAUGAAAGAAAAUUUAUUACAAUAGGGGAACACAUUAAGCUAAUGUUUGAUUUCAAUAGAUAUCUUAUUUUUGUAGAUUUUGAUAAAAAUUGAAGACAUGCAAGGUGGGAAAGUUAUGGAUCCCAUGAAAUGUAUGGUUAUAAUUAAUUAUUGAGUUUGAUUUAGAUUUUAAUGCACUUUUUGAGUUGGAUGAAAGAGGGAAUAAUUAGAUGGAAGAUUUGAUACUUGAUGCUAGUGCUGAUCUCAAUUUGAUAAAAACUUAAAGAAGACAACAAAAAUUAUUUGACAAUAUACUCAUUCCAAGUUUAUUAAAAUACACAACAUGAUAUAUAAGCACUUGCAGGCGAAUAAAUAAAGAUGGCUACAUUUCCACAAUGUAGUCUUCAAGCAAAGACUACAGUUUAUUUAACUACAGCCAGUUUAAUGUAGUCUCUAAGCAGAGAUCUACAGUUUAUUUAACUCAACCAGCUUUACAGAUAGAUAAGCACUUUAUUCGCCUGCUGUUGCAGCAAAGCAUCAAGCGGUUACUAUCUCCUUAAUGAAAGGCUCUUCGUUUGGGCAAAUUUCUCCACAUGCACACUGGUCAUUAAAUGCUGAGCAGCAUCCUCCUGGAAAACCCUGAAGCUGGCAGAAUUGUUUACAAAGAUCCACGUCACAACGUCGAACUUGAACAUCCUCCACGAGAGGACGACUCGUAAUACGUGGACAACCUCCUGUGCAACGGCACGGACCAAAUGGUCCUGGGCAGCAUGCUGGCUUACCAAAAAGUGAGCAAAAUUUUUGACAAAGAUCCCAGUUACAUCCUCUAGCAUCCACCACAAGAGGACCACUCAUAUCUGUUUAAAAAUACGAAAGAGUAAAGAUAAACAAACACAGUUUAAUACAUAAUACAGUCCAAAGUAAACAAAUACGAAUGCUUUGCUAUGAAAAUUAAAGUUGUUCACGCUAUUUCAAAUUUGGUGAAUUAACGUAGUUGCUAAGCUAUGGAGUUGAAUAAAUUACAAACCAGUGGACAGGGAAACCAACAGCAGGAGGGACACUAUUGCAAAUGACCUCACAGAGAACUCCAUAAUUGAGAAAAAGAGAGAGAUAAUAGGAAGCUUUAGUGAAAUGU
rnacentral:lncRNA from 1 species